CUGACCGAACUCGAACCUCUGUUGUCAGCGGCUUGGGAAAGAAGCUCAAAGAUGUUAUGGAUGAUUUUCAAGGCCUUAGAGCUCGAAUGAAUGCCGAGUAUAAAGAAACCGUCGAGCGAAGGUAAUUCUCAAAUCUCAAUCCCAAACCAACUUCAAACUAUUUAACACGACUAUUGCGUUCAAUGUAGAUUCCAUGUCUCCCCUAAUAAUCACGCAACUAAGGAAACAUAGACUACUCCCGAUAAUAUUAUAUCAUUAAGGGAAUGUUGGGGUAAAUGAGAAGAAUUGUAAACUCCAAGCAGUUUAUCGAUUCUCAAUUCUUUACCCCAAAGACCCUUCAAUAGAUUCCAACAACUUUAUCUAAAUUUUAUUAUAUCUACAAAUUACUUUAUAUGAUUGGGUUGAUUGUUAUAUUCCCUUCGACAAAUAACAUAAAAAUGAGUACUCUUUUUUUUGGGUGGAAUGGGGGAGACAGGUACUUCACUGUGACAGGGCAGAAAGCAAAUGAAGAAACAAUAGAGAAUUUAAUAUCAAGUGGGGAAAGUGAGAGCUUUCUACAGAAGGCAAUUCAAGAACAGGGUAGAGGUCAAAUAAUGGACACAAUUUCAGAGAUUCAAGAACGACAUGACGCUGUGAAGGAAAUAGAGAAGAAUUUGAUAGAGCUGCAUCAGAUUUUCUUGGACAUGGCAGCUUUAGUUGAAGCUCAAGGCCACCAACUGAACGACAUUGAAAGCCAUGUCGCGCAUGCUAACUCGUUUGUUAGAAGAGGAACAGAGCAACUCCAAGAAGCCAGAGAGUAUCAAAAGAGCUCAAGGAAAUGGACUUGCUAUGCCAUACUUUUGGGAGCUAUUCUUAUUAUCAUUCUUCUCUUCCCACUAUUAACUUCAAUUUUACCUCAUUUGUUGUAGAGAGGUUAUUGAUUUGCUUCUGAUUUUCCACUGCCACUCACUCAAGAAACAAAAAAAACCAAACAAAACAAAACAAAACUUCGAGUAGAAAAGCAGAGGAUUAUUAGGACUGAGAGAAUUUGUUUGAUUCAUUUUUUCUGUCAUUUAAUGUGGCGUUUUCUGAGGAUGUGUUGGUUGGUACAUAGCUGUAAAUGUGUUUUUAGAGAGAAUUUGGUUUCAUUUGGAUUAUCCACUUCCAAUUUGGACGUCCUCUUAGUUCCACAAAACAAAAUGUAUAGCCAAAGAUCCAUUAUAUUCCAAUUUCAUCAUUUCAUUUUUAUUUUGUCCAUUUCCCAAUGCUUCUUUCUUUCUUUCUACUUCUAUAAUUAGUUUCACUAUUGUAUAUUUAUAUGGCCUCCUGAUGCACCAACACUAUCUUGAUACGUUGAUUAUGAAACGUUCAUACUCAACUUAUCAUUAAGAACCAUUGACAUACCUAUAAAUUUUGUUGAACGCGAGUCUAAACAAAGUAGAUAAUUUUAUGAGUGGUCUAGUUCAUGUUGAAUUAAUUUCUUUCUUAUUCUAAAUUGCAUCCAAAAAGUUGAUUUAGAGUGAUCAUACUGAUCAAAACUUUCAAAGUAAUAAAAGAAAAAAGAGAAAAAGGGAGAGAGAUUGAGUGCAGUGAGGUCUUGUUUGUUAAUGGAAAAAUAAAAUCGAAGGAACAUUUGAUUGAUCCAAACGUACAUGUCUUUGGCAUCUUUUUAAAUGUAAACAUGGACUUAGGUACUGAUAAAUCUUUUUCAUUCAAAAUGAGAUGGAGUGGUUCAUUCAUUUCUCAAACAAAUUGUUAUUGUUUUUUGGAAUUUAAUUACAUUACAAUUUGGUUGGUUUCUUGUCAUAGACAUAAUACUUUAACUUUGUUCUCCCCUCCUUUCUAUGUUUUCGUCUCAAAUUCCUAGAAAAUGUUACUACUAAUUUAAUUUUUAAAUUGUAUCCAAAUUUAAACAACAAAAUCUACGACAUAUCUCAAACAAAAAUUUACUCUAACAAAAUUAUGGAUAUAACCACCACUAAACCAACUAUGAUCCAUUUGAGUUCAAACCAAUCUCAAUCGUAAGGAGUACAUAUUGAUUGUUGGUCAGCUUUUGUUUAUUUUAUUCUUUGACUUCUGUAAAAAAAAUUAUGUCAAAUUGAAAUAAUUUAGUUUUGGUUAUAAAGUUCUAGUUUAUAUUUUCACAAUAAAUAUAUAUAUUUUUCUUUUUUCAAUCUUUAAACGAGAGUUCAAUUUUAAAAAAAAGGUAAGUAAAUAAGUGUGUAUCAACUACCAACUAUAUAUCAAAGUGUAUAUCACAUAUAUAAGGUGCCUAUUAGAAAGGUGUCAAAUUUAUCAAAGUAAUCUCAGUAGUGUAUCAAAUGUAUAUUAGAUGUGUAUCGAGCAUGCAUUACUGGUGUAUCAAGGUACGUUCGAGUUCGAAUUUUUUUUUGUUUUUGUUGUCAUUUUUACACAGUGUAUGAGUCUAGUUCUUUAAACUUAUUCUGAAUCUUAUGACCAACCAUGAACCGAUUGAUUCAUUUUUUGCUUGGAAUAAUAAUCCCAUUGAUUUGAACAGGGAAGAGAAACAAAACAAAGCAACUUGUACAAAGCCCAUAACUUCUUUGCUAUUAUAGAGCAAUUCUAAUAUUACAAUUCAAAUAUAUAUAUGGAUAUAUUUUUUCAAUUUUACAACCCUAACAAAUAAAAGUAAUUAAUUUCCUUCCUAUAUUUUGCACCAAUCAAAAAUUUACCCAAAGGAAUAAAAAAGCUCCAAAAGGGAAAUAUGUAUAAAGAAAACGAAAGAAGAAAAAAAGAUCAGCUCUCACGGUUCACCAUCUCCCAGUACUUCUUCAACGAUUGCUCCCUCUGCAACCUCAUUUCCUCAUUGAAUCUCCUUAUGAAAUCCUCCACUCGCCGGUUCAAAUCGUCCUGACUCAUCGACGCCUCUUUCCUCAGCUUCACCGUCGUCGUCCCCUGAUUCGUCCUCUCCGCUUUUAUUUCCACCUCCCCCCCGUUCAUUUGAUUCUCCCACGUCUCCCACUUCUUCAUGUGCCUGCUCAACGGCAUUGCUCUCCCUUCCGUUAUCGCCUUCCACGUGUUCUCUAGCGUCUCGUGCCGUUUCGCCUUCGAUAUUACUCCCAGCGCCCUUCCGCCUGAAAGAUUUUGUUAAUUACCCAUCACAUUGUUUUAUACUUCUUUUCAUUACUGUUUACACAAUAAGAAAUUCUCGACCUAACAGUUACGAUCCUCAUGGUUGUGUUUGGCCUUUUGCCCUUAUGUUUUUUUUUAAAUUAUUGCGUGAAAACGACGCUCACAUUACACUACGCAAGUGGUAGCUGUAUGAUUACGAUUAGUUUCUGUUCAUAUUUGACAUGCCAAAGUUGAUUUUUAUUUCCUACCGAUCGAAAAAAGAAACGUAAUGAAAUUGAUUACAGCGCCGGGCUAUUUCUCCCUAACGCCGACCAAAUAGUUUUUAGACUUCCGAUUUUCACUGUUUAUCGAAUUCCGAGGUAAAUCUAAUCUAACGAUCGCUUCCAGUUUUUGAAAGAAGUGCGAAAUUUAUAUUAAAAUUGAUUAAUCAUUACCUUCUGGACUCGCUUUAGCAGAUUUCCGGUGGCCAAAUCUGGAAGAAACGAGCGGUUUCUCUGGUAAUCCCAUCCUCUUCAGUGAAUUCCGGGUCCGAUUUGUGGAUAUGACGAAUUUGUCCUCAUCCUCUGCUUCAGCUUCAAUAGAGCUAAUCGCUUCGAUAACCUUGGUUUCCGGAGCAAUUACUUCUUCUCUGGGUAAGACCACCGCCUCGAUUUCCUUCACUUCCGGAGCAAUUAUCUCUUCAACCUGGAAAUCAAUCGCAUCGAUAGCUUUCAGCUCCGAAACAAUCAGUUCAUCUCUCUGUUCGUAAACCAUCGGCGAUUCUAUAACAGUAUAUUCCGAAACAAUCUCUCUGUAUCCGAUAUCCUCCGAAGCCUUAGUUGCAGAAGGAAUCUCAACGUAAGCGUCGGCUUCCUUCUGGUGGAAACGCGAGGAGGCGACGAUGGAGAUGAUAAUCCCGUUUAUGAUAAUGUAAAUGUAAGGAGGUCUCAAGCAAGAAAUGAGGGAGUUCCAAAUCAGAGGCACAUAAAGAACUGAAAACUCGAAAACUAAAGGAACAGAGACCUUGAGAGCGAGAGCCAUGGAAAUAACUCCGGCGGACAUCAACGUAGCCUUCAAAGAGAGUAACCACGCCAUUUUCGGCGGUGAUAUUGCCUGUCGGCCGGAGGUGAAAAGACUAGGAGUGUCGUUAUUGAAAGUGCGAAUGUGGUGUGGGGAUGGUGGUUCGGUUGGGACUUCAUUUAAAUAAGGGAUCGAGUGAAGGAAGACGGUCUGGGAUGGAAUCUGAGCCGUUGGAUUAGAUUGGGAAUAAGCAUGGAAAAGAUGGAGGGCUGAUGAUGAGGAAGUAGAGAGUACGUGGGCAGUUGAAUUGGGUCAAAUAAUCCGUCCAGUUUUUAAAUAAUUAGAACCAAAAAUAAUAAUAAUAAAGAAAAAAAGAGAAGUAUUUGAAGAUUUUUUAAAUUUAUUAAUUAUUUGUUCAUUUAAAGAACCGUUAAAAAUCAUAAAGAUUAAUAAUAAUAACGUGAACGUGGAGCCAUAUGUUUUUCAAAUAUUUCUUUUCUUUAUAAAAUUGAGCUUUACCUUUGAUUUUCGUCAUUGUCAUACUCAUUGUGAAGGAAAGUAAUAGUAAAAUAAAUUGUGGUCGUAUCAAAUAGAAGGUUGUAGUUUGAAGCAACUUUGUUUGUAUUAUUAAAAUAUAAUUUUAAAAAUAUAACCAAAAUUUCAUAUCUAUUAUUAGUUUUCUUAUAUUUUUUUUAAUAUUUUUAACUAUUUUUGGUGUUCCCAAAAUUCAUAAUCGAUAUAUAUAUAUAUUUUUUUUUAAUUUGAACAAAAUAAUACUUUAUUAAUUUGGAAUGAAUGGAUGAAGUGGAAGUUGCGGGAUGGAUUACAUUUUUGUGAGGUACCCUUCCUCUUUGGAAACCCCCUUAGUUAGACUAUGUUUCUUGUGUUGAUUAGGAAUUAUUUUAUGUAAUGUACCAACACUUUUCCUACAAUUAAAAAAGAAAAGUGAUAGGAAAACUCACGACUCUAUCAUUGUGAUCAAACUAAAUUAGAUAAAUAUACGUGCAAAUAAUAGUAUAAUGAAUCCUAAACUAUGAAUUUUCAUAAUUACUUAAGAAACAGAUGCAAUUUUAUUAAAUCUUUUAGUUUCAAUUAAUUUACAUAAUUUUAUAACACAUAAUAAAUAUAUAUUAUACAUGAAGUUACAUGAAAUAAUAUAAUUUUCUAUCUUUUUUACACUUUUUCUAAACUUGCAAGUGUUUAUUUAGUCUUUCUUUUACCUGUUGGAUUUACCUUAGACAAAUUAAUAUACCCAUUUAAUAUAUUUAAUAUGUGUUGCGUAGCUAGGAUCAACUUCGAACAAAUGCCUCAAAGUGACAUCUAUUGCCUCCUAUCUUAAAAAGUUGUAAUAUAUUAACAUCAAUUCUCAUUCGAUCUAAGACUUGUGCGUGUAUAUCCUAUAUUCAACAAUGUAAAUUUAAUUGGUAAACUAAAGUUGAAAAAUGUACGUCCACCAUUCUUCGAAUGGACACACACUCCAAAAUUCACAUCACUUGAAAAAAAAGAUAGUAUAAUUUUUCAUGUAAAUUUGGAAAUAAUUAUAAAAUAAUGUAAAAAAGUUAAGAGAAUUAAAGAAAAAAAAUCUCUUCAAACAAACUACUAAUAUAUACCUUCCACUCUCACCAAAUUUUUUAAAUUUAAAUUAUAAAACACAUGAAAUCGAAUUAUUUAUAGUCAAUUAGACAUACUUUAGUUACAUGACCACUAAAGAUUAUUAUCUUCGAGACAGAUGACAAAGAUAUUGAAUGUAUAAAAUGAAUGACAUAUACCCUAUAACAAUAACACGACUAUUUACUAAUAUUUAUAAUAGUAAAUAUUUUUAAGACAUAGUAUUUGCACACUCAUACAUGAUAUAUAUAUUUGUUUGAGAACAAUCAAACAAAUAAAAAAUAUAUACUAUUUAUUUUAAACAUGCAAACAACCAUGAAAUAAUCCCGCAUAAUUAAUAGGAGAAAGGCAAAUUAUGGGCAAAUUUUAGUUGGCUAAAAGAAAGAAUGAACACAAAAAAAUCCCAUCAAGACCAUAUGGAAUAUAGUUUAUUUUGGUGGCACAAUAUUAAUUAAUUAAAAUUUAUCCAUACGAUAAAAUUAAGAAACCUACAAAUGUGUCCACUCAUAUAACCCCUAUUAUUAUUUUUUUUUUUUUUUGGUGCUAUAUUAAUCUUGAUUUCAUUUUCUUACAUUCAUUUUAUCUAAAUCAACUUAGAAAUGAAAUAUAAUGAUCGAACUAACUAACCACACAAUGAAUCAAAAUGAUAAAGAGAGAGCCAUUUGAACCAUGAACUAAGGUGGUUGAAUUUGACCAUUAAAUAUUUAUUGAACAUGAGAUUUAUGAAUAUAAUUAAUGCUCCUUAGAAGAUCAGUAGUUACUACUCGUUUAGGAAAGUAAAUAUUUUGAUUAAUAAAAUAUUUGGUUGCUUCAAAAUCUUUGGAGAAUUAAAUUGGGGAGGGACAUCUUAUAUAUGGGCAUCCAUAACUUGCUACUAAAGUUACAAAGUACUUUACAGCCAUUUCAUGCAUUUUACAACAAAAUCAGGCAGCAAACCCUCCUUUUUGGCUCAUCGAACACUUUUUAUUUAUUUAGUUUGAAAACUUUUUUAUUUAUUAUUUUAGUGUAUGUUUUCAUAAAGAAAAAGAUAUAUAUAUUAUUAUUCCCCCAUCCUCAACGGUCGUUUUAAUGACCGUUACUCCCGGUGGUUGUUCCACGAUCCUGAAGCGGUGGCCCACUGGUUCCGUUCCGCCAUGGCCAUUCCUCCGCCCUCGCACGUGUGCCACACCUUCCCCUACCACCUGCCGACCACCGACUUUCUUUCCUUUCUAUCCCCUUCUUCUUUCUUUCUUUUUAAAUAUCAACUUUUUCUUUCUUUCUAAACAUUUACCUUAAUGAAAGUCUUUAAUCUAUGAUUUAUUACUACAAACCUUUUCUAAAGACCCAUUGUAAAUUUUCUUUGACACUUAUAUAUCAUUUCACUGUGUAGUGUGUAAUGAUUCAUAAUUUUUAACUACUGUGUUACAAUAUUUUAUUAAAAUCAUUUAAUUAUAUAAUCAAAUCUACCUAAACAUUGAUACACAAAAUGGAUCAAGUUAUCAUUAUAAAUGUAUUAUAUACAUGCAUGAGACACCCAACAAUAAAUGACAACAUGUUCUUUAAUGAAAAAAACGCAAUAUACGUAGUCAAAAUAUUUAUUUAAUAAUCUACAUGCUUUUUCCCUAUAAAAAAUCGAGUACAUUUUUCUUUUGAUCAAAACAACACAAAAGUAUGUGUUAGCUUAUAGGAGGUUUAUUAUUUCAAAUCCUCCUUCUGUAAUGUUCUAGAAAUAUAAAUUAAAUUUUACAAAAUUAAUUUAAAAGACUAUUUAUUACUCGCCAAUAGAUACUUUUAUAUAUAUAUAUUAAUUGAACUAUACUCAUUUUAACUUAAAUUUUGGAUGUUGAAUCUUGUGAGUAUCAUGGAAACAAAACUUUGAUAUGGUAUAAAAUAUGCACCAAAAAAUGAUUCAUAAAAAUAUUUAUUGGGUUCCAUACAAGGAUCUUCCUUGAUAUUUGUGAAAGUAUAUUCUGAAGAAUAUUCCCUUAAUUUGUUUAUUGACCAAAUGGAGUGUAUUUAUACAAGGGUAAUUACCCAAAUAAACUAAGCCUACUUUAUUUACAUUAACAUCAUUACCCAAAAUAACUAAGCCUACUUUAUUUACACUAAUACCCUCCCUCAAACUCAAGGUGGUAGAGUAGCGAUCAACUUGAGUUUGGUAAGUAAGUGACAAAAUCGAUUAGAUGGCAAGGCUUUGGUGAAGAUAUCCGCAGGUUGUUCAAUAGUAGAAACAGAACGUAAGAGGAGGGUGUUGCUUAAGAGGUGGUGACGAACAAAGUGACAGUCAUUUUCAAUGUGUUUUGUACGUUCAUGAAACACAUCAUUGUGAGCAAUCUGAAUGGCACUACGAUUGUCACAAUGGAGGAGGGUAGGACCCUGUUGAGGGACACUCAUAUCGGCAAGGAGCCACCGAAGCCAUAUAAGUUCAGCUGUAGCAUCAGCCAGAGCACGAUAUUCAGAUUCCGUACUGGAACGAGAUAUAACACUUUGUUUCUUACUACGCCAUGAGAUGAGAGAAUCACCUAAGUAAAAACAGUAUCCUGUAGUGGAUCGUCGAUCAGUAGGAUCCCCCGCCCAAUCAGCAUCAGAAUAUCCCGACAACACAAGGGAAGACUGAGAUGAGAAUUGAAGACCAUGUCCCAAGGUGCCUUUGACAUAGCGAAGUAUGCGUAGAACAGCAGUGAAAUGAAUUGUUCGAGGAGCAGCCAUAAAUUGACUGACAAUAUGAACAGCAUAUGCAAUAUCUGGGCGAGUUACUGUUAGGUAUAUAAGACUGCCAACAAGUUGCCGAUACAAGCUUGCAUCGUCAAGAGGAACACCAUCAAACGGAGUUAGAUGGACAUGAGGAUCUAACGGUGUUGAAGAUGUGGUGGAGUCUGUAAUUCCUGAGCGUGCUAUUAGAUCAGAUGCAUAUUUCGCUUGAGAUAACAGAUAACCAUCUGAACGGUGAGAGACUUCAAGACCGAGAAAGUAAUUGAGAGAUCCAAGGUCUUUCAUCUCAAAAUGUUGACCAAGAUAUUGUUGUAGGUCGGAUAUGGCCUGUUGAUCAUUACCAGUAAUAAUCAUAUCAUCAACAUAAAGAAGGAGAAGAACAAUACCAUGAGUUGUCUGUCGUGUAAAAAGGGCAUUGUCGUGAGAGCUGGAGGUAAAUCCAAGUUGAGUAAUGGUGGAGCUAAACGUGGCAAACCAAGCUCGUGGAGCCUGUUUUAGACCGUAUAGAGCGCGACGAAGGAGACACACCUUGUUGGGAGGAGGAGAAGUUCCCUGAGGUGGCUUCAUAUACACUUCUUCAGAUAGGUUGCCGUUAAGAAAUGCAUUUUUGACAUCCAUCUGAAAAAGAGGCCACUGUUUGGCAGCAGCAACAGCUAACAAGCUGCGAACAGAUGUCAUCCGGGCAACAGGGGCAAAUGUUUCUUCAUAGUCAAUCCCAUAUUCUUGUGAGUAUCCUUUUGCAACAAGCCGAGCUUUAUAACGUUCAAUAGUUCCAUCAGAGUGAGUUUUGAUUUUGUAAAUCCAUUUGCAACCAAUGGGUCUUUUACCGGGAGGUAAAUCAACAUAGUCCCAAGUGUGCGUCUUUUCAAGAGCCUGUAAUUCUUCAUCCAUUGCUUUCUGCCAUACUGGGUUAAUACUGGCCUCUUGAUAAGAGGUGGGUUCAACAAGGGAAACAAUGGUAGAAAAACAAUGGUAAUCAGUGAGAUGAGGGGGAGGUUCUCUUACCCGGGUAGAGCGACGAAGAGGAGUAGCAGGUGGCGAUUCAGGAACAUCAUCGGAGACAGACGGUGGAUCCAGAUUUGCAGUAGCAGGUGAAGAUUGUGCAAGCUCAGUAUCCAAGGUGGGUUCAGAGAGAGGAAAAAGGUCAACAGAUGUGUUUGUAAAGAAAGAUUGAGGACUAGAGAAGGAGGUGUGGAAGGAGGACAAACGAGAGAACAUAGUGUGUUCCCAAAAAGUGACAUGCCGAGAUAUCCGGAGUCGGUUGGAAAGAGGGUCCCAACAACGAAAUCCUUUGUGUUCGGUGCCAUAGCCAAGGAAGCAACAGAGACGGGCACGUGGUUCAAGUUUAUUGUGUUCAUGAGGAUGUAACAGAACGAAGCAGGCACUACCAAAAACUUUGAGUUUAGAAUAGUCGGGAGAAAUACCAUAUAGUUUUUCGAACGGAGAGGUAUUUUGAAGGACAGAGGAAGGGAGACGAUUGAUUGUAUAUACUGAUGUAAGGGCAGCUUCACCCCAGAAUUUUUCUGGACAAGAGGCAGAAAGAAGGAGGGCACGUACUGAGUCAAGAAUGUGACGAUGUUUGCGCUCAGCACGUCCAUUUUGUUGAGAGGUAUGAGGGCAAGAGCGCUGAACAAUAGUGCCCUGUUGGGAAAGAAAAGAAAGAAGGAUGGAAUCUUUAUAUUCCAAAGCAUUAUCAGUGCGAAGAAUUUUGAUGGGAGAGGAAAAUUGAGUGCGAAUCAUGUUAGCAAACUCAAUAUAUGUGCGAGAUAAUUCAGAACGAUGUUUUAGAAAGUAAAUCCAUGUAAAUCGAGAGUAGUCAUCAAUGAAUAAAACAUAGUAGCGAUAACCAUGAACAGUAGUAAUUGGGGCAGGACCCCAAAUAUCAGAAUGCACUAAAUCAAAAGGUUUAUCACAAUUAGAGAUGGAUUGAGAAAAAGAUAAGGCAGGUUGUUUAGCAAGUUUGCAAUUCAAACAAUUAAAAGGAACAAAUUUAGUAAGAUUAGUCAAAUUGUUAACAGAAAUUAAAUGACGAAGUUUUUCAGAGGAAGCAUGACCAAGACGAAGAUGCCACUGAUAUGUGUCAGAAUCAGUGACCGAAGCAGAGAUGGAAGAAGGAGAUGAAAUCCGAAGUGAUGUGAGCUCAAACAAUCUUCCCACUUUGCGACCCGUUCCAAUCGUCUGUCCCGUCUGCGGAUCCUGAACCUGACAACCAUUGGGAGAAAAUGAAACAUUUAAGCCCAGAUCACAUAAUUGACCAACAGACACUAGAUUAAAGGUCAGGUUAGGAACACAGUAAGUAUGGGGAAGAUGUACACUGGGAGUAUCAAUGGUACCAGUAUGAGAGAUGUUCAUACAAUUACCAUCAGCAGCAUAAAUAGGAGGUAAAGAUUUUGUAGGGCUAGAAGUAGACAUAAGAGAAGAGUCAGAGGUCAUAUGAUUUACAACAGGCAGAAUCAAGAAGCCAUCGAUUACCUGAUGAAACAGCCAGAGCGGAGGAUGAUGAAAUUAGUUGAUUCAAUAAGCUCUGAAGAUCACUUAUCUGAAUGAGGGAUGAAUCAUCCGAGGUCGCAGCAACAACAGAUGAGGAACCAUGUUUGGUAAAAAUUUUCUCUUUUGUGGAAGUGCUAGGAGGUCGGGGUGGUCUGGUAGGGCAGUUAUCCAGAAUGUGGCCAUGUUUAUGGCAGUACCUGCACUCUAUUUUAGGACAGUUACUAAAUUUGUGACCAGAGAGCUUACAAUUCUUACAAAACAUAUUUGCGGCUCUGUUGGGAGUGUAUGUGCUAGCAAGGACAACAUCAGAUUGUUUAGUAGAGUUGAUGCCAAGACGCUUUUCUUCAAACAGAAUUUCUUGAAUAGCUGCAUCUAAUGAGGGUAAGGGAUUCCGGUGUAGUAAAGCAGCUCUAACAGAUUCAUAUUCUGGACGUAAUCCCAUAAGGACUUUAAUAAGGCGAAGAUGAUCUUUGCUGAUGUUCGCUUGGUCAAGUUGAGUCCAAAUGGGUUGAAGAACUGCCAAAUAUUCAUUAACAGACUGACCAGAAUCUUGAUUUAGAUUUACAAGUGUACUGUGCAGUUGGUAAUAAUGGGCUAAACCAAUAGACUUGAAGCGUGUAGACAAAAAAUCCCAUAAUAUUUUAGCAUCAUCAAAGGCAUCAAACUGUGCAUGUAUAGCGGGAAUAGAGGUGUUACCAAGCCAGGUGAUAAUUUGAUGAUUUUUACUGUCCCAAUCUUCGAGACGUUCAAUGAAUGUGUUAUCCCCUUCCUUUGCAGUUGGUUUGGUGAUGUCGCCAGUUACAAUGCGCCAUAGUUUUCUUCCAAUAAGAAAACUUUUCAUUUGAUUUGCCCAUGUGAUAUAAUUUGUACCAUCAAGUAUGGUAGAAAUGGGUCUAAAGAUAUGGUCUCUCUCCAUUUCGAGACGUCUGCGAUGCGCGAUGAGGAUUCGGGAUGGAGACUUUCACGGGUGGGCGGCGGCGGCGGCGGCGGCUAAGAUGAAAACCCUAGCUCUGAUACCAUGUGAAAGUAUAUUCUGAAGAAUAUUCCCUUAAUUUGUUUAUUGACCAAAGUGAGUGUAUUUAUACAAGGGUAAUUACCCAAAUAAACUAAGCCUACUUUAUUUACAUUAACAUCAUUACCCAAAAUAACUAAGCCUACUUUAUUUACAUUAAUAAUAUUAAAGUGAGCAGUGAGUAGUUUUUCACACAUUGGAGAAGAUAAUAGAAUUAUAUAAGGUUGGACAAAGUUUAAUUAGCAUUAGAAUUGGAAAUGUAUUAACUAACAAGGAUUAAAUAAUAAAGCAAAAUCCCUCUCAUAUAUAUACAGAACAUUUAAAAUUACGUCAUCUUAAUUAAUAGAAAAAUAAAUGAGGUGGAGAGUAACGAACCUAAUCAGCAGAAUGUAAUUAAAGAAUAUUGAGGACCAAAGUACACGUGGGCCAUGUUUAUUAGUUAGGUCUAUUUAAGUCAAUCCGAAGAAUAUUGACAUUUCCCUAAAUUUACACGUAUUACUAACUAUCUCCAUCGCUUAGUUAAAGAGAAAAUAUCAUUUUCAAUUUCAAACGUAUAAUAAACAAAAGAAAUUCGAAAGAACUAACAAAUCACCAAAUCCAAGAAACAGGAUGAGAUAUGGUUUUUGUUUGUUUUUUCUUUUUAAAAAAUAAUUAUAUAAUAUUUAAAACUAGUAAAAAAAACAGUGUAAAAAAGGAUGGGAUAUGAUUUUUAGAAUUACUUUUCUAACAAAUAAAAAUAUAAAAUUAUUUGAAAAUUUUCAUAAUAAAAUAGGUUUAUAUAUAUAUAUAUAUAAAAGUACAUUUUUAAUACUCAAAAACCAAACAAGUUUUCUAUUUUAAAUUAUAAUUUAUUUGAAUGAUGAGAAAAAUUGCCAAAAAAAAAAAAGGGUUAUUGAGAAAUGGCCAAAUAAAUAUUUUUCUUGUAAACAUGGCAAAAAUGACUAAAUUUGGUAUAAUUUUAAUAAAUUAAAAGAGAUUAGCAGUAUACCUAAUAUGCAUUAAGUUUUUCUAACUAAACCUUUACUACGAAUGAGUAUAUUAAACUUCAAAGAUAUAUAUAGUUGUUGGAUGUAAUGUUAACCUUAUUUAGAUGGUCCUAUUUUACAACAUAUACAGUAAAUGCCAAAUUUUGUUGACCUAUAGAAAACAUACCCUUUUCUAGUGGAUAUUAUUUUGUAUUUUUGUUCAGGUAUAAAAAUAGCUCAACCUAACAAUAAUAUAUGUGUAUAUUUGUUUAGUAUAAAAACAAUUUAAUCAAUAGCUCAAAGUUUCACUAACUAGUUCGAAAAUUAUUGAACUAAGAAAACAAUAUUAUAUUUUUAGAAAAAAAAUUAGCCUACUGUUUAAUUAAGUUGAAAAUUAAAAUUAUAGUCUUCAAAUUUGCAUGAAAGUAACAAUUUAAUUCUAGAAUGUCAAUUGGUCACACGGUUUGAUUAUUGUACAUUCAUUCAAAUUUAUAACAGUGGAAUCCAUGACUUUAGUAAAGUGACAAUUUAGUCUAUUUACUUUACAAUUUGUUAAAAUUUAGUAUCUGUGCGAAUUUUUUUAAAAUCAAAAUAAGUUUCAGUUUUUAUUAUGGAACAACUUUAUUUCUAGAGUUUAUUAUAAAUUUUAAAAUAUAGAAAGUAAAUUAUUUCCAAAUAAAUUCUAAAAACUAACCUGUUAAAUUUGAAGAACCAAUUUUUUUAUUAACCAAUAUGUAUUUAUAUAAGUGUAACUAUUAAAAACGACAAAAAUUCAUGCAAAUACUUAUAAAAUAUAAUAAAAAUAAUAAAAUGUCAAAUUUUAAAACACGGAUAGAAAUUUUAUCAAAAAAGUUUAUUAACGUUUAUCAUGGAUACAAUUUGAAAGUUUGCUAUAUUUUAUAAUUAUUUUAGUUGAUUAUGCCAUAAUAAUUUUUUUUUUUGAAAGUGACUUGUUUUUUAAAAUUUUGAAAAUUAUAUCGUCAAUUAAAAGUUAAAAAAGAAGUGAAAACUACAUUUAUAUAAUAAGAGUUAAUAGAAAAAAAUUAUUGUUGCGCAAAAUGGUGUCCGGUAUCUUCUCCAAAAUUGGUGGGUCGAAAGGAAAGCGGUUUCUCAAUGAAGCUGAGUUUAAGCUUAACGCGUAUAAAUGGAGCCAAUGCAUUGGCCACUUACUGACCACUCAAUAAAUGACAACUCCCCACUUUAUAACCCUUUCAUAUUUUAGUUUUCAAAUUUAAGCUUACAAAUAUAAAUACUUAUACUCAAAAAAGAAAAUAAAAAAAACUAAAUCAUGUUUUUAUUAUAUAUUACGCUCAAUAUUCAAAAUAUAUUUUGAUCCAAGAAAAAAUUGGAUGUAGAGCUUUCCUUUUAACUACAUUUAUCUUCUUACAACUUAAUUGCGAAUGAAAUUUUAUCAUGUAAUUAAAAAAAAUUAUUACUUUUUUUUAAACUUAGAAUUAAGUAUCUAUUUUGAAAAUAAAAUUUUCAAAUUAAAAAAUUAUGAGAAUUUAAGAUAGAUGUGAAAGUUGACAUUGACAGCAAAAUGUUAAUUCAAUGAAAAAAUAAUUAAGGAAAAAAAAAAGAGAAAUUGUUAUGAAUGGUAAUAUAUAUAUAAUAUAUAAUAGAUUUAAAAAAAAAUAAAACAAAAAGUGGUAUGAAUUUUGCUAUAAUUUCAGUUUUUUUUUUCUUUUCAAAAUGACAAAAGAAAAAAAAUAAUAAUAAUAAAAUGGUUUGGCACUUUCUUUCAGCCGACAUGGAUUCUGAAUAAAAAUUUGAUUUUGUAGACUUUUAUGGUUAACUUAAUUACUUGUUCAAUAAGGUAACAACAUUCAUGGGCUAAUGUUUUAGUUAAACAACAUUGUUCCCUCUCCCACGAGGUCAUAUCUACCCUUCAAUGAAAUUAAUUAAUAGUAAUUUAAAAAGUAGGUGGGAUGUUUAAUGUUGUUUAAAGUAAUUUAAUGUUGUUUAUUAAGUUGUAUGUGAUUAUAUUUAAUAUCGUUUACUUAUGUUUUACAUUAUAGGAAUGCAUUGGAACUAUAUAGGGAUGCAUUGGAGCUAUGUAUUACAGCUUAGGGUUAUUGUUAUAGUUAUGAUUAAUUACUAUUAUUGUUUCUUUUGAAAGGACUAUCGAUUUUAACAUAUUUACUACUAUUGUUGCCAUUAACUAUAAUUAUAUAAGAAAAAAUUUCAUUACAAUUACUCCAAUAAUUUCAUUGUGCAUCUCUAAACAUGACCUAGGUAAUUAAUAUAAUUAAUAAUCUAAAAAUAACUCAUAAAUAAUUUAGAUCAUAAUUCUUUUUUUUUAAAGUGAGUCUAUUUCUUCCAUCCUAUACUAUAAUUUAUAUAUUUCUUAAAUUCAAUAGUUUAUAUAUUUCUUAAAUUCAAUAGUUGAAUUCUUAGUCUUUUUUUUUUUUUGUAAAAAAACUUUUAGAAUGCUAUUUUUUUAGUUUUCAAAAUUUAUUUCUUUCGCCGAUUUGAAAUCCAAACCAACACAAUUUAAUAUCAAUAUCGAAUUAAAAAUAAAUUUAUCUAAUAAAGUCUAAACUCAAUUACGUUACAUGGAUGAAUGUUGAUUGUACUAUUUUAGUAUUAUAUAUAAAAAUCUUUGACUGUAUUUUGUUAUUAAGUCAAACAAAUCUUAUUUAUCUUAAAUCAUAUCAUAGUUUUAUUUAUUUAGUAUGAGUUGAAGGAAUGUGAUGGCAAGUGUGUUUUCGUGUAGAAAUUUAUAUUAAUAUUAUAUUAUAUGAAAAUGAACAUAGUGUAGGAAACGAAUAAUAGUAAAUAAUAAUAAAAAACAAGAAAAAUUAUGAACAUAUAUAUAAUUAUAUGGUUGAACAAUAAAAUAGGAAUAAAAAUAAAAAUAAAUGGUAGACAUUAAAAAUUGUAAAAAAGAUUGAAAUAAGAAGAAGAUAUUAGUCAAAAUCAGUUGGUAUUCUGGAGACAGAGAUUGACAGGAGACGAAGAAACUUCCGUGUGGUAUAUUGUGGAGGUAGGGAAUAAGAAAAGACAAGAGAAAUGGGUAUGGAAGUUAGGAGAGGGAGAGGUAGUUAAUGAAAGUAUGGUUCGCGUAAAUGUAAAAGAAAAAAACAAACAGAAAACAAUGACACAAGAUGAUAAUAUUAUCCUGGAGAAAAGAAAAAAAUUAGAAGUGAAUUUGUCCAUGCUUUCACAUUGCCCAUAAACUGAUAAAUAAUGGAUAUAUAUGGAUAAUAUGCUUCAAAGUGACCACCGACCCACCACCCAUUUCUAUUUCCUAAGUUCCCGGAAAUUGAUUUCAAUAUAAAUGGAUACAGUAUCUUUCUUAAAUUUUAUUUGAGGAUAUUCUCUGUUCAUUUGAAACUUGCAUGAAAUUGACUGAAACUACAAGUAGUAGUAUCAAAAGAACUCCUACAAUGCUUAGUUAAGGCAUCAAUAGUUAAUAAAGGCAGUUGGAAGCCAAUGCAAAAAUUGUUCCUAAUGACGACAAAUCGUUUGUUAACCAAACUGCGGAAAGAGCGCAGUAGAAAACAUACCGACCAAAAGGGGUUUCUAAUUGUCAAACAAAAACGGAGAGUGACGACACGUCGGAUGGGGAGAAGAAAGCUUUUAAUUCACGCGCCGUUCUCUUUAUAAAAAGUGACCGUUAAAAAUUGUGAAAAUAAGUUAUUUUUUAUUUAAUUGUGAGUCAAAGUCCAAGUGGAUGGUUGUGUCCAGGUGGCAAAUUGUUUCCCAGUGCCGCCGUAACUGACCGACCGUCCAUGCUUCCAUUGCCUGACACGUGUCGCCUAGUGCACGAGAGGAUAUUCCUCCCCACCUUUACUUUAUUAAUUAAUUCACUCUUCUUAUCUCUUCCCUAAUUUUUUUUCCUUUUUCCUUUCUUCUUUUUCUUCCAUUUCUUCACUUUUAACCAUUUUAAAACAAAAGUUACCCAUGUGUUUGGUCACAUUUUCUCAAAUUUAUUUUUUAUAUAUUUAGAUUUAUUUUGCUUUGUCUAUAUACUCAGUAUGUUUCUGGUUACUAUAUAAUUAUAUACCACUAUUAAAUAUUAUAAAAUAAUAUAAUUUUUAUUUUUAUUUAGAAAUAAUUUUGUUGGGUUGAUUCCCACGGGUAGUGAUUAGAGAUGAUUAUAGUUGGUUGUUAAAGUUGGUCACUGUAUGUAAUCUUUGUCAAAGAAGGUUUGUUAAAGUUUGGUAGUCAAAGGUGGUGCUUGCUCUUUCGCCCCUAUAUCCAAGUCAAACGAAUUAUUUGCCCGUCAAAUAUCUCUAUGGGCCUCCACUAGAGUUUCAUCUUCCUUCGCUCCGCUCAGGCAUAUAGUUCACCAUCUUUCGGGUCUCGACAAGUAUGCUCAAACUCGAACUCUUCUUAGAAGAUCAAGGUUAAUCAGUCGGUGGUGCAACCCACUAGGGUAUCCCAUCAGUCAGCAUUCCUAUGCCUUGCGAGUUUACUCACUUGUUAACUCGCACACAUCUUAAACUUCUUGGUUCGAGGGAGGGAGAAAGAGAAGAAGAUGCAACUUAUUGAUUACAAAUAUGUUCGAACUUCAAUUAGUUAGUAUAUAGUAGAAGUUUGUGGAGUAAUUAGACUAUUUGACACAACUUGUGAAUAUAAUGAGCCAAACAGUAAACACAACCUAAGUUAUCUCCAGCUACUUCAAACACCCUUUAAAGACCUUUUAAAGUUUGAAUGUUGAUUUGACAUAAAUCUAAAAAUUCAAAGACUAUUUAUAAUAUAUAUUACAAAAUUUGCCUUCGAAUUUUUAAAUUCGUAUCUAAUUAUUAAGUUUUUAAACCUCUAAAUAUUUAUAAUAAGUUAUUUAACUUUCAACUUUAUAUCGGUCAUAUUUGUUUGUUUGUAAUUUAUUUAAAAUAAAAUAAUAAUAAUAAUAAAUUAUGCAUAGAAUAAAUUAGACAUGAAAAUUGAGUUUAAAGUUUCAUAUGAAAGACAAUUUAAUUUUAUGUAUAAUAUACGUUUUUGAAGGAUUAAUAAGUGAGAAUUAUUAUAAAUUUUCUUUAAUUAUUUUCUAAUAAAAGAAAAUAAUAUUUCGAAAUUGGAUAAACAUUUCUUUUUAGAAUAAUAUGUUAAGACCACAAUAAUUGAAUUGUCACAUUUUAAAUUAGUUUUUGAAAAGAAAGAAAACUCAAUAAAGGUUUGACAAAUUUGUAUGCAGCCUCUCCUAAAAUACAAUAUAAGAAAUAUGUACUAAAGCACGAGAUUCACAUUUUAGUAUAUAAUCAAUAUUAAGGAUGCAAAUAACCUAAUAAAACCCUAUUCAUUUUCUUCUUCCCCUUGUGAUGGCCAUAAACUAAGAACAAACCACUAUCCGUACAUAUAAGUUGGCUUGGAUCGAGCGUUAACCUAAUCCAAUUUAACCUAAAAAUUUCGCUUUGGGUUGACGGAUUGAUUUUUUUUUUUCACCUCUCCAUAAUUUAGGCAGCUUUUCAUAUUGUUUUUCAAUAUGAAAGUUGAUCAAAUUGUCAUUCAAAGUGCAAGAUUAUAUAUAUAUAUAUAUAAUCGAGUUGGAUCGGAUCAACCUUACCCUUACUUGCACAACCCGACUCAACUUGUUUUUUUUCCAAUUUUCUAACCCGACUCAACUUUGAAGCACAAUUCAGUCACUCCUCAUGAAUUCAAGAAGAUCAAACUGUUAGGUCUCAUGUAAAUUUGAAUUUUUUAGGGAGAAUCAUUGCUUUUCCUUUUUCUUUUCGUGCUCCUAUUAUUAUAUUAUUAUUAAACUAAACUUUCUUUGUUGUUAUAUUCCACUUACAACUCUUCAAAUUUCUAUUAUAUUUUUUUGUGUUUUUAUAAGUGUAAAUAAAAACGAUAUUUAUUUGAUUUAGUUACAUAUAAAUUUUGCUUUUAAUCAAUAAUUUGUUUGUUUUAUGUUUAUCAUAUUAUAUCAUUUUAAAUCUAAUAUGACUCCCAUGAAAGAAAAUGUACAUGCUACCUAUACAUUAUUUCCAAAUAUAUAUAUAUAUAUAUGAAGAAAUCCUAUAUACACAACACUUAUAUAAUUAAAAACACUUUAUUUAGAAGGAAAAAAAAUACCUCAAUGAAUCACAAAAUAUCUCAAACUUGAGCCACUUAUCAAAAUGUAUGUACACACAGGAUAAAGUAGGUAGGUUAACAAAGGAGCCAAAAUGGUUACAUUCACUCAUUCAACAACCAAAUUUCCUAGUCUAGAUUCUGCUUCCUCAAGUACAUGUGUUUUUGCAUUUCUAUUGAAGACAAACCAAAUCUAAAAUUGAGCAAAUAACAAAUCUUCCAACGUUGAUAAAUACCCUUCAUUAUAUACAAAGACUUGUCAAAUGGUAACGUCUAUUAAUAUAAUUAGAUUAUUAUUAGGAGAUAUAAUUCUAGAGAUAUUAUUUGAUAUUAUUUCCUUAAGUGUAUUUCUCUAUGGUUAUAUAUAGGCUUGUAUCUCUACUAAAUAAUAAAUGAAAUAUAGAUUUAUUCCAUAAAAUCAACAACGUCAAAUUUCAUUAUAUAGUUUCAUCAAACCUACUUCCAACAUUAAUCGUUCUUUCUCAUUUUAAGUUUUCUUUCAACUUCUCCACUGUAAGGUCCAACAUUGAAAGCAUACUGCUGCAAAACAGAGAAGACAAUCAUCUCUAAACAUAUCAACACGUUCUGGAAAGCCUCUUCAACGUGCUCAACGUCUAACCACAUGUGGUUUGAUCCAAUAAUGCCCACGGCAACAAGUAUAUCUAGGACUACACCCUGAAAAGUGGAAGGUGUGUCGAAGCAAAGUAAGAACAAUAACAUUACUAAAUAAACAAAUUCAAUGAAGAACAGAAGAAACAAGAGAUUGCUGAACUUCUUUAACAAUUCAAGUAAUUCAGAGAAAAGAGACAUAGGAAAAAUGCAAAUGUGCUGUCUGGUGGUCACAAAUUCUGUAGAAGCUAUUGAAUUAACGUCCUAAAGGCUAAUAGCUCUGAAUCUCUCUCCCUGCGCCCCCACCCCCACCCAAAAAAAAAUAAAAAAUCAGUGAAGUAAACAUCAAUAUAGCAAGAUUAGAGGGCAGAAAAGAACAUGUUAACAACUAAAAGGAGAGUUCUAGUAAAAACAAUAGCUACCUGAUCCUGAACAUGGCAAAAUAAUAAUAACAAUAAUAACAACAAUAAUAAGGCUUCUUGUGCUCCAUUUGAUGGUUUUUCUCGUUCUCAUUUUACUUGUAAUUUUUCUUGAGGGGAGUGUUAAAAAGAAAUACAGAAACAAAUAGGCCUGCGCAAUCAUGGCAAAAAGAUCUAAAUUAGCAGUGUCACCUGCCAAAAGCUGAAGAAUACAAUUCCUUUGAUGCACAUGAACUUGGCCAAUGGAUUGUGUGGUUUAAGUUCCUUGGCGAAAACAUGGUAGAAGACAACCAGAGAAUACAUAGCCAAAGAAACUGAGAGGUUAAGGAUGAUAGUAAAUGUCCAUCUCAACCAGCUGGGAUACAUUCCCAAUAAUUGCAGCGUUAUCAUCAAAACAGAGCAAACAGGGCGGAUGAUAACAAAUUGCCAUGUCCAAUGUUUAAGAAGUAGUAGAUGCCGAUGGUCCAAACGAACAGUUCGAGGCUGCAAAUUUCAUCACAAAUAAAAGUCAAAGUAAAUGAAAGAACGAAUAAAAAAUAAGUCAAGAAGAAAGCAGCGGUGUGAUGUCCUAAAAGCCCCAAUAGAAAGGAAAAUGGAACCCAUUGAUCCUGGUGACAACCACAGAGUAUACAUUCUAGCAAUUAAUAUGCAAUGGAUACCAUUUUCAUACCUGAAACAAUGUUAUUGGAAAGGAGUGAUGAAUUUCUCUUCCCUUGAUUUCAUCUGGUAUAACAUUUUUGCUCAUAGAUAUAUUCAGGUAGCUAUACAUGAGAGCCAAGAACUUGGCAAUUACCUGCAAUUCAACACACAUACAGGCAAGACGCAAUUAAGAUUAACUCAACUAGAGUGAGCACAAGGCCAAGAGAAAAUAAGCCAUGUUGAAAAAACUCACCAAAGCUUCGUAACAUUCCUUAACAGAAUCCAGAAACAUGAAAAACUCCUUGCUCCCCUUGAUAUCUAGCAAACCCACAAAUGAGUCUACUGCAUAUAAGGGAGCCAUUAAUAUAAUAAUUACUAUGGCCUUUUGCUCCUUAGGAUUCUUCCAGUAAAAGAGAUGCUGAGAUAAUAACUGCAUGGUGUAAUGCAUUGUCAACAUCACACAGAAUCCAGAUCCUACUACAGUCAGCUGUUCAGGAUUCAAUGUGGAUAAAUCCAUUAUGCCCCAGCAGAAAGAAAACCUAUGGCAGAAUCUGCAAAAACAACAUCGAUACUUAUCCCUAUUAAGCACUCACAUUAAGCCCAAUCCCACGAAUAAUCGUUUUAACUUAAAUCUCCAAAUGAUAUUGGGGAAACAACUCCGAGAAUCCGCAAAAGCAAAUACCUUCAAACAUAAUUACUAAUCAUAGCUAUUUUUGUUCAUUCAUAUAACCAACAUAGUGUGCUAUAAAAUGGACUACGUUCAAUUGCAUUGCAAAAACAAACAUAAAGGGAAAUUUAUGCCCUUGGAAAAUAUACACCGUACAGCUUCAAAUCCUAAUGGAUAAUUUAAAGGAAAUUAGAUGGCAGUUAACGAAUUUACCUGAAAUCAAGGUGGGGUUUCAGCUUUCGACGGUCAGUAUUUGGGAUUUGGAGUAGAGUUUCCGAUUCAUCUCGAUCUAGGGGAAGUUGUAUCUGAAUGAACAGAAAAAAUGAAAAUUUUGAUUACUCACUGCGAAUCGGAAUGGUUCGCUACAAUCGGUUGUGAUACUUCGGUCGGAAAGUUACCCGUCAGUGGCGCGCUGGUCAAAUCACUGAGAAAUAUGAGAUUGACCCAGAAAUUGUUCAGCAGCGAUCCCGUGAAUUCCGAGUGUCACACCAUGUCGAAGUGAAUUUUCGGUAAAUUAUUUUUAAAAAAAGUUUCGGGUAAAUAAUAGUCCGCCCAAUGAAUGACCAAAAGAUGGAGAAGAAAUGUUGAAUGGUCAGUUUUUCAAAAGGUGUGGAAUAACCCUUAGAAACUCGUCUAGCUCUCUCUAGUCUACUCCAUCUUGAUUUCUCACUCAGUCUACUUGAUCUUGAUUUCUCAGUCUCACACGGUUGUUGUCCCUCUUGUUCAACCUUGCUUGGUUGGUACUGUCACUCUCACUCAGUCUCUCUCCAUCUUUUAGUCUUGCUUGGUCUCGUAGUUACACGGUUGUUGUCGCUCUCGCCCAUCUCAAUUGGUGUCGCUAGGUGCUGGAGAAGAAAAAUCAUGUGGAGAUGAGAAGAGACGUGUGGUCAUAGGAAAAAGAAAAAAAUGCAAACCAAUUAUAUUAUUUGCCAUUUAAAACCUUUAAAAUUAGUCUUUUAAUCAAUUAAAUCCUAAAAUGUUUUUCUUUAAAAGAAAAUAUAUAAUUACCUCCAUAAUUUAUGAGUGUGAGUUAGGAUAAUGUUUCUUUUCCUCACUUGGAUUAGUAAUAUUUAGCCAAUAUUAUUGCCGACUCUUUUUUGUAACAAGCAAACUUUGAACAAUGGUAUUGUAAUAUGUAUUGUCUUUUAGGAAACUUUAAGUGUUACCUUAGAGUGAAAUUCCAUACCAACUCUAAAAGUUGAAGUUAUAGAUAUUGUUGUUGAAAAAAAUGUCAAGAUAUCACAAUUCACGGAGAGACAAGCAAAAUAAGUAUCUUUGUAUCUUCAUGAAGUGAACAAAACGACUUGUGUUAUUACGACUUUCAUUUCUUUUAUUAAUCUUUAUUUGAUAUGAAAAUAUGUUUUUCUAGAUAGUAUUUAUGUUGACAUUUACAAUGAAAUUAAAAAACAUUUCAAUAAUCAUGUUGGGUCCAAAUCAUUCACUGACGUAUCAAAUAAUUAAUAGAGAUAGUAUAAUAUGAAUUCAAAACAAAAUUUCCAUUCUUUUUUUUUUUUGUUGAGCAACUUGUAUUGUCUUGGGUGAAUUCGAUCUUUCAAUUUUUUUACUUUUUUUUUUCAUUGAAAUUAACAUGUGUACUUAUUCUCAAAAUUUAAAGACUAAAAGAGUUAUAUUUUUAGAAAUCCAUGGACUUACAAAAGAGUUGGUUAUUUGUGACUAUAAUUUUGUUGACCUCUAAUAUGUUGCUUACACUCCAACAAAGAGAAAAGAGUAAAUAAAAAGGAAAUCGCCAUAUGACAGUUUUUUAUUUGGCCACUACAUGAUUUCAUUUAAAAUAUCAAAGGGCUAUUAUUUUCAGUCCAAAAUCUAAAGUAGGAUAAUUGAGGGACAAACAUUAGAUUAAAACACAAAAGAGGUACUGAAGGAGAGUCGUCGUUGCUUGUCGUAAUAUAAAACAUUAGUUUGGAUAGAGAAACCAAAUAAUCACAAUAAAAAUAAGGUCAUCGUUUUCCACACACAAUCCUUUUCUAAUUAAUUUCCCCUUCAGAUCUGAAAGUUUACAAAUCAUUAAAAAAAAAAAACAAAACUUUGUAGUCAUGUAUUUCAUGCACAUUAAAAGAAUUCCCCAACUUGCUUGGCGUUCAACUCUAAGCAAGUUUCAGAUUAUGGUAUCUUAAAUAUGUGCCAAUAUUUCAAUAAUAAUAACUUGUACUCAACCAUCACCUCUCUUUCUAUAUAUAUAUAUGUAUAUAUAUAUAUAUAGAUACAUAUAGGCUUGUGCAAACAUUUCUUUUCAACUCAACAAAAUGGGAAAAUUGGUAUUUUUGGUGGUGUUAAUUUUUAUUUCAUUCCUUCUAGUCCUGCCUUGUGCUCAAGGAUGGAGCAAAGAAGGUCAUAUCCUAACAUGUGAAAUUGCACAGGUAACUUUAUUUACUUUUUCUUGUCUGAUGAUCUUUUAAUUAAAUUGGACGUUUUGGAUCAAAUUCUGCCUUGACCAUUUGAACUCAACACAUAGGGUCAUUUUUACUCUUAAAUUUGACAAACUGUCUCCAUUUUUAUCUGCAAUUUUCUAUUUUCUUUAAUCAGUUUUUAUAUAAGCUUAAAAAAAAUUGUUAUAUGGGUGGGAUCUGAGGAGUUUGUUAUGAAAUCAACAAAUAAAACAAGCAUAAAAACGUAAAUGAGGAGAGAAUCGACAUAGAAGCAUAUUAGCUACAUUUAUGCUCAUUAGAAAGAAUAUUUCAGAUUACAGAACAAAGACGCUUCUAUAAAUGGGGAGUUCAUACAACCAAUUUGAUCUUCAAAUCUUAAGAUUAAAAUGGUAAACAACGUAAAUACAGUGAGAUCUUAAACAUUUUUGUUUAAUUAGUUGUUGAGAGGUGAGAUAUCAGAUCUAAAUGUAUUCACCUCAGUUAUAAAAUAUAUAUCAGGCAAGAAACUGAUGUGUUUUGAAAGAGAAAUUAACAACAAAACAGAUUUUGGGCUGAAUUUUGGAAGAUUUAUCAGACAAUUGACAUUGUAAAUUGAUGUAGCUCAAUUCGAUCAUGUCAAACUUUAUUUUUGUUGAAAGCAGCGGGAGUCUUAAAAAGGAGGAUUUUACAUGUUAAACAAAUUUAGAAACAAAAAUUUUAAAAUUUGAGACACACAAUUGAAUAUUGAAGAGGACAACUAAUGGGUAAGUUUAGAUUAUAAUCCAACCACAUUCAGGAGCUACUGAUUCCAGAGGCAGCAGAGGCAGUUCAAGAUCUGUUACCUGAAAGUGCCGGAGGAAAUCUAUCGGCGAUGUGCGUAUGGCCGGACCAAAUCCGACUCCAGUCUAAGUACCGCUGGGCCAGUCCCCUUCACUACGCCAACACCCCCGACUCUUGUUCUUUCGUCUACAAAAGUAAAGUAACACCCUUUUAUUCUCCCAUCCCUAAGGUUAAAUAAAUUCAUUUCGAAUUAUUAAACUAAACGGUGCGUUUUUGUUUAGGGGAUUGUCAUAAUGACGCCGGACAGCCGGACAUGUGCGUCGCCGGUGCCAUUCGAAAUUUCACCACUCAGCUCACAACCUACCGAACACAAGGCUUCGACAGUCCUCGUAACUGACCCGACCCGACCCACUCGAAUUAUUCCUGUGAUAAUAUGAAAAUUAUUUAAUUUCAUUUUUAUUAUUCUAGAUAACUUGACCGAGGCCUUGCUCUUUCUAUCGCAUUUCGUUGGGGAUAUUCAUCAGGUAAUACUAAAGUUAUUCAAAAAUGUUUAUGUGUUGAAUUGCUUUAAUUUAAUUAUGAGAUAUGUAAUUAUAACUUAUUUUACAUAUACAUAUAUACCUAUAUUUUCAGCCAUUGCAUGUGGGGUUCGAGAGUGAUGCGGGAGGAAACACCAUAGAAGUACGAUGGUUCCGUCGUAAAUCAAACCUCCAUCACGUAAGAUUUUAAUCUAAAAACAUACCAAAACAAUAUGAGUCUAUAUGUUUUAAGUUUUAUGAAUUCUAUUACAUUUAGAUUAUAAAUUACUAAUUAUAUGGAAUAAUGCAGGUGUGGGAUAGAGACAUUAUUCUUGAAGCUCUAGGAGAUUAUUACGACAAAGACGGUGGCCUUCUCUUAGAUGAACUUAACCGGAAUUUAACUCAGGUAAUUAAUUAAUACUUUUUAUUUUUUCUUUAUUACAUUAGUACAUUAGUUUAUAAUGUUAGGAUAUUAGAAGGUUUACUAUCUUCUUAUCAAAAUUCUGUUUUUGUAGGGAAUUUGGAGCAAUGACGUUUCGGAAUGGGAGCGUUGUUCUACUGUUAAUUCAUGUGUUAAUAGGUAUUUAUAGAAAAUGAAAUUAGGUUAUAUUUUGUAAAUAUUUUUUUGUUUUUUUUUUAACCAUAGUAACAACUUGUGGAUUAGGUGGGCUGAUGAGAGUACAGGGUUGGCUUGCAAGUGGGCAUAUGAAGGAGUUGAAGCUGGUAUUACUUUAUCAGGUAAACCCAAUCAAUCAAUCAAUCAAACAUUGUUUAAAUUAAUAUCAUAGUCAUUAAUUCCUAAAAUUAUUUGAAAUAUAACAUAUGAUGAGAGGAUAAUGAAAUCCGUAACUGAUGUGAUUUGUGUACAGAGGAAUACUACGAUUCAAGGUUGCCAAUUGUGAUGGAACGAUUAGCUCAAGGUGGGGUCCGGUUGGCAAUGCUCUUGAACCGGGUUUUUGCUGAAGAUGCUACACGAGGAUUUGCCUAUUCAUCUUGAUUAAUUCCACCAUCAAAUUUAGGAUUUCUUUUUCUUCUUUCUUCUAACUUAAUUAUGUCAGUAAAAUAUCUUAGAUUUCAAAGGUUACUAGAAAUGAAAGCAAAUUGUAGUGUUGAAUAAAUUGGCAUUUUAGUUCAUUUUACAAAAUUUCAUCAACAAAUUCACAUGCUCUUUACAUAGAUGUAAAUGAAUUAAUCAAAGUAAUAAUGCAGUACAUCUAAAUUGGUAUACUACAUGAUUUGUAACAAAUAACAUUUGAUCAAAUGUAACCCCUAUAUAUCAUAAAUGCACCUAAUUAAUUCAUUGAAUAAUUGAGACAAUUUUUUCAAACGAGCUGAAAAUAAAAUAAAGUGUAAACUGCCACAUAUUAAUUAAUUGCAUUAUAGGUUAAAUGAUUUAAGUUUAAUCAUCUUUUGUAUUCUAAUUCACACUUCAAAUCAUUAUUAUCUCCACUAAACUUAAUAAUUAUAUAUAUCUUACUAAAGAUGAAAAAGAUUCUUUUGGACCCAAAAUAAGAGACCUAAACAUUCUUCCAAACACUUGAAGUUCACAAUUAUUAUUUUAUUUUUCUUUUCAUGGAAAAAAAGAAAAGGAAUAUUUAAAAUUAAUAUUCUAAACAUACACUCUACUUGUAUCAAAUAUAAAUAUUCUAAAUAGACAUAUUUGUAAUGGUAAACACUUUUAUUUAUUUAUUUAUUAACAUAACUAUAUUCCUCCAUCGAUGAAAUUAAAGUAAAUAGGAAAACUUCAAAAGAAAUUAUGAUUUCCAAAUAUGAUUAAUCAUCAAAAUCAACACACAAAAUUAAAUUAGCUUGUUGUGGUGGAAAAUUAAAUUUAUACACAACGCCCCUUUCAAAUGCUUAUUUCAAAUGUCACCAAUUAAAUUUAGAUAAUGUUUUUAUUGUGUGUAGUGGAAAAUGAAGGAAAAGUCCAAAAUUGAGGCUAUAGGGAUUGGGAGAGAUUUUGGAAGAUAGCCACAUAAGUCAUUCUCACAUAAUUUUGAUACCAUUUGUUUUGCUUUCAUUAACAUAUAGCUUACAUAUCCCUAACCUCAUCCUUAUGCUAAUAAAUAAAAAUGCAUAAUAUAUAAGGGUGUUAGAAGUUCGUCUGGGGAGUUAAUCGAUUUAUACAUUGAAUUAAAUAAAAAUAACAUGUGUUCACAGCCUUAACUUGGAAUUUUAAAUUUUCAAAUUUGUAUCUUUAGUUUUUUUUUUCUGUUUUUUUUAAUGUAAUUUCAAUCAAAAUUUUAAAUAAGAUUUCGACUUUUCCUAUAUAUUAUUAUUUUAUUGUACUUUCAAUUCACUCAAAUUUCUUAUGGAAUUCAUCAAUAUAGGUGUAACAACAACUUGUUAUCCAAUCUUUAGGUAGCUUGAAUUUGAAUUUUUUCUAGAAAGAAAGUAUUUGAGAUAAAGUUUAGAAUAUUCAAAUUUAAAUGAAGAUAAAUGUUAGAUUGUACGCUAAAAAUUUUAUUUGGAUUUGGACUAGCAUUUUAAAACAGAUUUUUGAAUCUGUUUUGUUUUGGGAUAAUCUCUUGAUUGUAUUCAAAUUCGUUUAUUCUGUUUUGUUAGUGAAUUUCAUUUAGUUUAUUCUUGAUUUGUUUAAAGAUAUUUAAAAUCAUUUGAAAGAUAUUGAACAUUUAGUCCUUUUCUUCGAUGUUAGAAGUUGUUGAUGUUUCUCAUGAUUUUUUGUCCUUGAUUACGGGAUGAUUGUAUUUAUAUGUGGUUUUUGUCAUGUUGUGACUAGACCCUUUAUGCGAGCAAGAUAAUUGACGUUCAAGAAGACUGAUUCUUUCAAUAGAAAUUAAUAAUGUUCGAUACAUAUUAUGUAUGUGUAGUGUGUCGCCGGUUGUGCCACCAAGUUGAUGUGACUAAAUAGAGAACUAGUAAGAAACGUAUUACAUAGUACCGAAGUAUAUCACAAUUAGGGAAGCCUGUACAAUGUGAUAUAAAAUUGAAUUAGGAAGCAAUGAAGACUCCUUAGUAAAUAUGGAUUAUUUAAUAUAAGUUCGUUUAGUAUCUAGAGACAAUUAAUUAUAAUAAAAAGAACUUGUACUUUGAACAAUUUUUAUAAUCGAUAAGAGAUCUCUUCAAACCGGUUCAAGAUGUCUCAAAUGUAAAUAUUAUCUUCUUUUUAUUCUUUGUUACUCGUGUUAUUUUCUUCUGUCACUAGCUAGUUUUGGUAUUAUGAACUUGAUUCUCUAGUUUACUUUCAUAAUUUCACACAAAUUUGAAAUUGAACUUAUAUUAUUUUGGUUUGGACUUAUUUGGAUUAAGAAAAAAAGUGUUCUUAAACAAAAAAAUUCAUUUAAUUAAAAAAUAGCCUAAAAAUAAAAACAUUCAUGGGUUGGUUACACUUUUUGAAGAGGCUUUUUUUAUUUGUUUACAAAGUUUAAUUGGUUUGCUAUAUACCAAACGUUUUUCUAUUAAUAUCAAAUUACUAUAAGCAUAUGAUUGGUCUAGUUGAAAACAAUUUGGUUGGUCUAGUUUUUUUAAGCAUAUGAUUGUUAUAAUUAGCCAAUAGAGUUGGGUCUUAGUAGGUAGCUAUUGCCGGAGUGUGGGUCAUCGGAGUGGGCUAACAAGGUUAGUCUUCAAAGUUCAUACUAGGAGGUGGUUGUUAGAAUACCGAUGGUGGUGGCCGUCAGGCUGAUAAAAGUGGUCGACGAUGGAAGGGUGGUAGGCAGCGAGAACCAUAUUGGUAAAAGUGAGGUAGAGCAAAUGAAUGUUUUAUUAUAAUUUUAUGUACAAAAUAAGGGAUGGAGUUAUCACCAACCACUCAAAAUAAAUCAUCUUUUUUAAAGUUGAUUUUGAGAUGUUUUUCCUUUUAAACCAACUUAUUUCAUAAACUCUUUUCUUCCUUACUUAUUUUGAACCGUUUUUAAUAAACACUUCAUUUUUUUUAAAAUGAUUUAUUUUCAAAUUUCACUUGAAAAACUAAAUUAAUUUAUUUCAUAUAAACUCCUUUUUUCAAAAGUUAUUUUAUGAGUGGUUGCCAUGCAAUUAUUUUGUCCAAAAUAAUUUAUUUUUAAAAUUUAAACGCUUCAAAAUUUAAACCAAAUUGAAAUUAGAAAUUCUUAGUUUAGGGAUAGGGAUUUCAAAUGAGUAAGUUUGUUUUAAAUAAUUUAUUUUUUAAAAUAUUAAUAUUUCUUUUUUAUAUGUGUGAGAGAAAUGGAGUAAAGAAGAUGGUGUUUCUUUUUAUAAAUGUGUCAAUUUUAACGGUGUAAGUUCGUGAAGUCCAGGUCAAAUUAAGAAGCUAAACCAUCAUUUCAAAAAGAGACUAAACCUAACCAAAACUUUAAAUAUUUGGUUUUUCCCUAAAACAAGAACUUUGGUCGUUUUGUUAUCUCGUUAGAGGAGGAAGUGAUGUUAAGUGACGUUAUUCCUAUGUAAUCCUAAGAUAAGAAAAAGGAAAAAUAGCAUAUGAACAUAAAAUAAAGUAUAGAAAAUCACAAGAUAAGUUUAGCAUCUCUUAGUUGUUAAAUAUAUUACAACUUAGGGAACUAAUAAGUCAUAGUCAUAUAAAAUAAUAGAUUCCAUAUCUUUUAAUAAAGUUUGACAUUAAACAAACCUAAAAUCACUACCCUACAAUAAGACAACAUCAUCACCAUCAAAACAACCAAUUAUAAUCAUCUGAUUAUCCAAAAACUUUGCUUUUGUAUGAGAAAAAAAAAUACAUAAAAAGCAUUAUAUUGUUUAUUUGUCCUAUGCCCCAUUAUUUCCAUUUAUUUAAAACCUCUCUUUCCCUAGUGCCAUAUAAUUUCUAACUUCUAUAAUUCUCUCAAAAUCAAACUUUCUUAAAAAGAUAUGCUGUCAUUAUGAGCUCAUAAUGACUCAACUCUUACUUUGUAACUCAACAUGUGUUUAUGGUAAAAUUUUCAAUCACUCGUUCGUUUGUUUAUUUGUGACGUUUUAUUAUAUUUGUUAAUAUUUUGGUUCAUUUUGUUACAAUUGAAAAUAGUCUUUUUCUUUUUAUAAUGCUCCAUAGUUAAUUUACAAGUAGGAGAAAUCCUUUAAAUAUAGAUCGAGAAAUCAUCCACACGUAAAAAUUAGUUAUCCACAAGUUAGAUUGCAUCUUAAGUAAACCCACCAGCUAUUAAAUGCACCAUAGAAUUAGAUUUACAAAAAUAGGAAGAGAAAUUAGGGGUGCAUUGUAUUACAAAUAUUUUUUCACUUCAAAAAAUUAAAUAUUUUGAAAGUCAAUCUAAACAUGUACAAACACUACCUCUCUUAUAAAAACAUAAUAAAAACCGAGAAAGCUGAUUGUAUUUAUUUUAUUAGGUUAUUGGCAAUGGGGUUGGGCGGGGAGCAAUCCCCAUCCCAUUCCGUGGAGAAUUUCCAUUUCCAUUUCCAUCCCCGUUCCAUUACCCAUUUUGAGAGUUGGGGCGAAGAUUUCCUAUAUGUAGAUCAAAGUCGUUGGGGAAAAUAUCCGUUCUAUUAAUUAUUUUUAAAAUUAUAAAAUAAUUAGAAUUUAAUUUUUAAAUUAAUAAUAAAAAGAUAUUUUAGCAUUUCUUAUGAUAAAUUUAAUAAAAUAGUUAAGUUAAUUUAAAGAACAUUUAAAAAAAUAUUUAAAUAAAAAAAUCAAAAAUAGAAAAAUUUAAGUAUAAUUAAUUUUGUUGGUUGAUUUAUAAACAGUUAGUGAAUUUUUCUAUUUAAAAGAAAAAGGCUUUAAGAAUAUAGCAAAAUCCAUGGAAGUGGCAUUUUUAAUUUAAUGGGGGCAUUUCCAAUACCUCUUAAUUUUAAUUAAAUGAAAAUGAAAAAAAUGCAUUUAGCUUUAAACUAUGGUUUAUAUAUAUAUAUAUAUAAUAAAAAAAGAAUAUUUUGGGCAGGGUCGGGAAGGGACGGGGUGGGAAGUCCGUCUCCGUUCAAAAUGGGAAGAUUUUUGCCCAACCUUUACAAUAUGCUAAACGACAAUAAAAGUUGAGUUGCUAUCCCUUAAAAGAAACAAUAUAUAUAUAUAUAUCAAAACCAUCUUUGAAUUAAAUCAAAAGCUAAAGAAACUUGUAAAUAACUUUUCUUUUAAUAAAAGGUAAUCAAUGAUUGUAUGUUUAGAUAUAAAUAUUUGCUUUUGUUAAUCUAGUUUUUUUUAAGAAAAAAAAACAAAUAAAUUAAAUAAAAAUUGUAGAAAAUGUCAAAUUUGACCAAAUAUUUAUUAAGAUUAUUCACUUAUUUGUGUGUUACUACCUAUUAAUUCAAAAUUUUCCCCUACGAAGAUGAAGUAAAAAAAGAGAAAUUCAAAAUCAACAUCCCUGUUUGAACAAAUUUUUAAUAUGUAUUAGGAAAUUUGUUUCCUUUGAGUAGGGGUACUUUAGAGAAAUGACAGAAAAUUUAAUUUUAAAAUUCUUCAAAUUAAAAUUUGACACAAAUUAAUUUGGUUCCUAGUUUUUAUUUUAUUUUAAAACUGAAAAAAAAAAAAGACCCCUUACACGAAUAUAUAUUAUCCUUCAAAUAAAUAAAUGAAACUUUCCAAAUAAUAAUUAAAAUACUAAAUCUAGAAAAAUGGGAUAUACAUAAUUCCUAGGGUUUUUUUUUUCAAAUUUUGUUUUUCAAUUUCAUAUUGGUACAAAGAAACUUCCAUUUAUAUAUAAAUUAAAGAAAAUAUAUAUUUAUGUCUAAAAAUACAAUCAUUAACUAACUGCCCACAUUCUUAAGCUUUUUUUAUUAUUAUUAUUAAUCAAGUACUCUAAUGACUAAUUAAUCCAUACUCUCCAUAGAAAGAGUAUCCAUACUCUUUAAUUUAUUUUAGUAUUAAUAGAUUUUUUUUAUUGUCAUAUUUAGAAGAGAAAUGGACAAUUCUCCCAUACUAUAAAAUAUCUUGCAAAUCUUAAAAAAGAAAAAAAAGUUCCUUACAAAUCAUGUAUCCAAUUAAUUUAAUUACUUUAUGCAUUUUACAUGCUUAUCAACUUCUUCAUUAACUAUCUAAACUAUAUAUGGUUAAGUUGUCAAAAAUAUAUGUAUGAUUAAAUUUUAAGUAUACUUCUAAAAUUAAUUUUUUUUAAAAAAAAUUUGAAGUUCUAUAUUAUCGGAGUGAAUAAAUUUAUGUGGAGGAAGAGAGUAAAUUUGAAAGUUAAAUAAACAAAAGAAAACAAAACGUGAGAUUUUGAUAAGGAAGAGUAGAAUAACACGGUAAAUAUUUUUUAUAGUAAAAUAUUAAAACUAUUUAUAAACCAUUUUGUUUAAUUUUUUUUAGGCAAAAGAAAUAGAAGAGUGAUGGGCAUUUCCAUCCACUUGUUAUAUUUAUUAACAAAUUCUUUUUUCUUACUUCUUUAUUCGUUUUUCGAUUUUUAAACGAAUUAAAAAGAAUUUUUAUUUCCACAAAAGGAAAACACAACUUUUAUUUAUUUAUUAUUAUUUUCUUUCAGCACUUUUGAUAUUUUCAUUAGAAACAAUGAUGUCUUUAUUCAUAUUCUAAAUACUCUAUAUGCGCUUUUUCCUGCACUUUCUUUUUUUCAUCACACAUAAUUUUCUUAUUUGUAUUCUCUUCAUAGUUUCUCAAAUGCAUUUUCUUUUUGCUUUUUUUUUCUAUAAACAUUCUCUUGUUUAAAGGUGUCAAUCUUCCUUGCACAUCAAAAGAUUGAGUGCUAAAUAUAAUUCUUAAAUGGAGUGAAUUUUACACGCAAUUGUUAAGUAACGAAAUUUACCUAUAGCUUUCCCAAAUUUAAUAUACCUAAGUAAUUGAUCAUAUCUAAUCUUGCAUAUAUUUGUUAUGGUUGUAAGUCGUUCAUAGAUUUGACCUCUUACCUACUUUUCUUGAUCUGGUCUCACUUUUUUAGGUCAAGCGUGAAACAUCCUUACAUUAAUGUGAUGAUGAGCCUGCCACACUAAGUUAGUACAUGGAGUAUAUAGUUUAAAAGUAAAGUCAGAACCAAAAAUUUUAUAUUUGAGAGACUCUGUGUACUUGGGUUGGGGCAAAUGAGGGUUUCUCCCCUCCGUUCCAACGAGUGGUAUUGACCCUCAUUUAUGCCUCCAUUCAUACGAUUUGAAGGCGAGAGUGAAUCAUGGAAUAUAAUCUCCAUCUUCAAUUUCAAUUCCCCACCUCAACCAAAAUGUUUGAGACUUGUGUCUCUUAUUCCACAUUCUUUACUAGAAAAAAAAAACAAACAUAAGUACCAAAAUUAAAUUGAGACAAUUAGGCCUUUGUCCACAUGAAAAAAAAAAGAAGCUAAAUUUAGUUCAUUUGACACCAUUUCUCAGGUAAUGCAUCAGGAAAUGAGAACUCUCAUCUCUAAUGCCCAUUGUGCUCGUAAACACAAAGCUCCAAUGAAAGAAGCCAUAGCUCCUCCAGAAAAAGAAAGAAGGAAAGAAAAAUCAAUCAGUCAAAGAGUUUGAUGGCGUAAAGCUAUUAAUUAAUUAACUAUCUUCUAACCACGCUUGGAAUACGUGCAAUAUUGUUGCCCAAGGUUGCAAGUGCCACCAACGUAACUCAUCAUUUUUUUAUAGUAAAACUCCAACACUUUUCCUUGGGAGACUUGUGGACAUUGUACAAUGCCUCCAAACCUCCUUGGGUGCUUGGACUUGAGUCCGUCAUAGGCUGUCUGUCUUGGCAACUCUCUAAAUUCUCAAACUUCACUUCACUUCACCUCAUAAUGAAAUUCCAUUCCAAAAUAUUUUCCCCCUUCAAUUGAAUAAAGUAAAGAUAUAUUAUUAGGGUAAGCAUGAUCUCAGAGUUGCAUUUUGAUGGCUUGGGAUCACAACAAUUCCUCACCAUUCCAAAGCUCUGCAAUAUUAAUCAUUUGAAAAAGUGAAAUGUGAAACUAUAAAUACACAAAACCUCAUUGCCAUUAAUACACUCAUCUUACCAUCACCUUCAAUCCGUCCUUUUCCCCUUUCGGUUUUCCCUCUCUUCCAAUUCUCUUCCCCUUCCAACUCAAACGUCAUCAAAACAAAAUCUUUACAAUCCACUGAUAUCAUGCCCUUAUAUACUGCAAAUUUGGCCACUAAACCUCCACAUCGCUUCGGUUUUAGUAGAACCAACACCAGUUCCUUACCCAACUAUGCUGCCUUUAAACCUUCCUUCUUCUUCUUCUUCCCUUCUACCCACAUCCUUAAUUCUUCCCGCAAUCGAAUUUAUUCGUCUGUUCCUUCAUCUUCUUCAAUAAUGGAAGACCAGAAACAUGUUGGUCCUUUGAUUUCUGGGCCGAAAUCACUUUCCCAAGAACUCAAAGUCGCCGUUGGAGCUGUUCAGAUGGCUUGCUUCCUUUGUCAGAGAGUUCAGAGCAACUUGCUUACUAGCAAUGCCCAAAUUCAAGCAAAGGAUGACAAUUCCCCUGUUACUGUUGCUGGUAAUUUUGUUUGUUUUUUCUUCUUUGGGAUUUUCUCGCCCAUUUCAAAGAUGGGCUUUCGAUUGCGUAUUGCUUUGCUUUUGUCUGCCCUUUAUUAUCUUUAUCUAUAGAAUUAUGCCAUUCUUCUUUGUUCAUUAUCCGGAAUGGGAGUUAUUGUAACAUUCGUAUUCCUCCUUGGCAAUUUUACUACAGUUUCUACAUUGAAUUUUAAAUGGAGUUUUAUAACUUAUACAAUAAAAAAAGUGUUGAUGACUCCAACAGUCACAUUUUAGUUAAGAAGAGAAUGCAGGAACAAUAAGACAACAAGGAAUAAAUGCACCUGUGCUUCCCACUGUUAUUGUGUUUGCAUAACUAAAGUAGCUGUAGUAGAAAAGUUACCAGUUUGCAUAUUGAUUUUUCCUGGGGGUAAAAUUAUUAUGUAACAUUGAUGCCUAGGAAAAGGCAACUCUAACACAGCACAUCAAGUUCCAUGAUUGAAUUGGCAAAUCGAAAGGUUCUUUUAACUCCUGUUUACAUGGAGGGAUGUCUUAGACUAAGAAAAUUAUGUGUAAAGGAAAAGAUCUCUGCAUUUGGUAAUUUGCUGCUCCCUCAAAUUAGUAUAGAAUCUUCCCCCUCCCUGUGAAAAUUUAUUGAUACAUCUUUACUUGUGGAUUCCCCCAUUUUUUAGCUUCAUGGAGCUACAUAUUUUUGUAGCUGAAGUCAUGAAAGAGCACUUCUCUCGCUUCCCUGUUUAUAAAAUUUUCUUGUUUAGCAGAAUUAUAUUUUGUAUUUUCCUUGAUGGGUUUUUCAUCCUUCAUCCUGAUUUGUUAGGCAGACUGUAAUCCAAGGUUCCUGUAGUUGAUGACUGGUUUUUGAGUGUAGAAUAUGAAACCAAUUAGAAAAUAACUCUAGAAAAUCAUUUUGAUUAAAUACUUAAACUUUGAGACACUUUUUAGACAUGACUCUGACGCUUUCAAAAUUUUAGAGAAUUGGCAAGGAUCUGCAUAUAUUAGACACUUGUUACACACAUGUUAGAUCUUUAUCUCCUUUCACGGAAUUAUAUUUAUGUAGGUUUUUUCUUCUCCUUUAGGCCGUUUGAUGCAACUAAGUUGUUCUUGAAGAUUUAUUUAUAAUUUCAUCUGUAGGUUGUAAAAUCUCCAAGACAUAAAAGAAAUGAAAAACUGUACAAGUAGUCGAAGUGUAGUCCUUCCCUAUUCUAAUAAUUUUUGUUGCUUUAAGUUGGAUGAGAAAACAGCUAUUCACAGAGUUGAAAAUUUGAGAAGUUUUACAUUGUUUAUAUUACUAAUUUGUUGGUAGAAAUGUAGCGUUCUAUUAUUGGAAAUUCUUCUCAAUCACAUAUGUGAACAGAUUGGAGUGUUCAGGCAAUUAUCAGCUGGAUUCUGUCCAAAUCUUUUGGGAGUAAAAAUGUGUCAAUUGUUGCCGAGGAGGAUGUUCAGACUCUUUCCAAGCCUGGUGCGGACCGGCUUUUGAAAGUUGUAGUGGAAACUGUAAAUGAGUGUCUUUGUGAAGCAUAUCGUUUUGGAUUGGAAGGUCCAGAAAGCACCCUCUGUACUUCUGAGGUUCUUGAAGCCAUCAGCCGAUGCAACUCAUCUGGCGGUUCGACUGGAAGAUUUUGGACGCUUGACCCUGUGGAUGGCACGUUAGGUUUUAUACGUGGGGAUCAGUAUGCAGUAGCUCUAGCAUUGAUAGAAGAUGGAGAAGUGGUGCUGGGGGUUCUUGGAUGUCCAAAUUAUCCAAUGAGAAAAGAAUGGCUAUGUUACCAUCCUCGCUACCAUUCAAUUAUAUCCAAAUUAUCACCUACAACAUCAGAGUCUUGGGACAAAGGUUGUGUGAUUUAUGCCCAAAAAGGUAGUGGUGAAGCUUGGAUGCAACCACUGAUUCAUGUAAACAAGAAAUUAGUAUGGCCGAACUCUGCUAUACCGAUUCAAGUAUCCUCCAUCGAUGAUCCAGCAUUGGCAACAUUCUGCGAACCAGUUGAGAAAGCAAAUUCAAGCCAUUCAUUCACAGCAGGACUUGCUCAUAGUGUUGGACUUAGGUACAUAUGUUUUUAUUAUCUGGAUUAAGUUUGUUAGUAUAUUUACACGUUUCUAAAAAGCAUCUUGGCAGUAUAGACCUGGAGGACUUUUAAGGUCUGAGUAAAGCUAAAAAAAGACCUAUCAAAAUAGCAAUACUGAUAUAUAUUUAUAUCUACAGUUAACAGUUAUCAGAAAGAAGAGGGAUAAUGUGUCGUGUUUUGAUUGUAGGAAUCAACCAUUGAGAGUGUACAGCAUGGUGAAAUAUGCAGCCAUAGCUCGCGGUGAUGCUGAAAUCUUCAUGAAGUUUGCUAGAGCUGGUUACAAGGAGAAGAUAUGGGAUCACGCAGCGGGUGUGGUCAUCAUACAAGAAGCUGGUGGUGUAGUCACAGAUGCAAGAGGAUGUCCGCUCAACUUCUCGAAAGGUAUGUAUUUGGAAGGCCUCGACCGAGGAGUCAUUGCUUGCGCUGGAGCUAACCUUCAUGACAAGAUAAUUAGUGCUGUUGACGCUAGCUGGAACUCCUCUUGUCUAUGAUACCAUGGCUUCAUGAAAAGAAGAAAGAUUGUAUUGUAAAAGGGUGGAAGAGGAAGCUACUUUUGCUUUCUAAGUGUAAUUUUUGGUACAUGGAACUUCCACAGAAACUAUCUUAUUUUCAGUACAGGUUUGUAUUUAUUGUAUAAAAAAAUGCUUAUAUCUAUAGUCUGGAGGAAGCCUUUUCUUGUUUCAGAAGUAUCUCUUACAGAAUUGAACUUUUUUUAAAACUUAAUUUAGGGAUAAUUUCAAGACCACUCCUGAACUCACUAAACUACAGUGGAUCUUAAGAUCACACAACUACAGUAGAUCUUAAGAUCACACGUUUAAUUUUUCAAUUUGAUAAAUGAGCUUCCUAAAUUUACAAUCAAGUGUUCUAAUGAAAACUCAAACUACAUAUUUAAAUUCAAAAUAUCAAUUUUUAGUUCCCUUCACAAUCAUUUGAAAACUGUUCUUUUUGUUAAUGCUUAAUAUGGCUUUCAGAUACCAGAGUUUAAAAUAUUUGUUUUAAAAUGCACUUUCUAUAAUUUAACAAUUUAAUAAUUUGGUGCCAAUUAGUUGAUUUAUGAUUGUCUAACUUAGUCAAGUUUUGGUGUGGUUUAUUAUUUGAGCACAAUUCCCAUUCCUGUCAUGUAAUACUUGAGCUAAAAAAAGACAUUUAAUUUUGAGCACUUAUGACCUUCAAAAAAUAACUAGAUAUUGUAAGACAGAUUUUGAACUUUUUAAGGACAUUUUGAGGGUCUAAAUCCUAGAUUCUUCUGAAAAAUACAAAACUUUUAUUGAAGAACUUGGCAACUUUAAAUCAACUUAUAUUUUACAGAUCUCAUAAAAUAGGAUAAAGGUCAAUUACCAAGAUAUGUGAGGAAGUUACAAAUGAGAAAGAAGCCAUAUCAUCGUAUAUAUUAUGUAAAAAUCAGGCCAGUUGGCCAGACUUGCUUACUAUGCCCAAGGAUUUAAUCAUAUUCUCUCACAAGUGUAUUAGGGACCAGUACAACUAUACCAAUAGUUACAUUUUUUAUCUUUCUUUUUCAAUUUCUUCAUUUUUUAUCAUUUCUUUCUUCCUUCUGCUCUGGGGGAGGAAGCUACACUGCUACAUACAAAAGAAAACCCAUCUGUGGAGACAAAAUUGAUUACUCAAAUAUUGAAAAAAAAAGAUUAGGAUGGAGUGGUAUGGCAAUGAUAAUAUAUGUGUUGAGAGGAAGAACCACCCCCAUCUAGUUCAAGCUCAGCCAGGAUGCUUGCUUGUUGAAUAUUUAAUGGUGACGGCUUCUUCUUCGUUUCCUCCGUCUUUCAUCACUUUUUAAUGAAUUUGUUUUGAAUGGAUCAACCCAACUCUGGUCCUCUGCUACCGCUUUGUUCCAUCGCUCUUUGAAGAUUUGAAGUUCCCAUGUCGAUUGCCUCCUUAUCUGCUCAAGUUCAUACCAACAAUCAACACUAACUCAGUUCAAGUUCAAGCUCAAAACCAGGCAAAAUCAUGUUUGAACAAAGAAAGAUCAAUCUGGCUUAACACAUAAUACCACUGAUUAUAUGCAUACAUUAGAACUAAUAAUGAGAAGAUAAUCUUGGUCGUAAAAAAUGAUAAUUAGCAUCAGAAGUCUAACCUCUGUUCGAACAUCACUGGGUAUCGGGUUCUGUUUCUGAGUCAAACAACAAACAGAUAAAUAUAUAAAGAUUCAAUAGACAAGCAAAAGGAAAUUUUAAAUGUUUACCUUUGCAUACCCAGCAGCUUUUGAAGGCUUAGACUGUAAAAUGAGGAGGAAAUUUUAGUGGAGGGAAUAGUUAAAAAUAAGCUCAUUGAGAACGUCACAAUAUGAACUUUUCUUGAAGCAGAGAUAUGAAAGUGAAUACAUGUACAGACUAUAUAAAUCGUAUGAGGAAAAUAGUGUGAAAAAUAAAGUACCUUUGUUCCACCUCCACCCAAAGUCUGUAUACCCUUGUGAACAAUAUAUUGACUGUCAAUAACUCCAACAUUCUUGGUCCGAUCACCCUGCAGAACAAUCUACUUAGCACAUUUCAAAAUGAAAGAUGAAAUAACAAGGAGAUAGUUAGUCAUGGUAGUUUCUCAGGUCCACUGGUUCAUUUUAAGCAGUGUAAAACCUUGGAAAAGGAAGAGUUUUGUUCUUCACUUUUCUCUUUUACAUAAAAGUGUGAGUUAUCUAUCCGCAUAACAAUUUUCAAGGUAUUUCAAUGGAAUUUUGACUACUACCUUGAAAUUGCUGGCAUUGAUAGGAUGCUGACCAUACAGCCAAAUCAUUAAAUUUUUGCCUUCUCUCCUAUUUCUUGUUAAUUAUUGUUUCCAUUUUUAAAGAUUAUGUCAUCACCACAAGUACAUUUGUCCAACUUUUGUCAAAUGGUAAACACGCUGGGAGAGUACAAAUGAUAGAAUUCUACCGCAUUCAAAUGCUUACAAAUUGUCUUUUGGAUAAUAAGUCAAUCAAGCCUAAUUCUAAAGAUGACGCUAUAAACGAAGGAUUUGAGAAAGAAAACAGUUGGAAGCAGAUGUGACAUAGACCAGAAAACACUCUUUGCGAACUUGGUGGUUCUGUCACAGCAAAACGAUAUCCAAGUUACCAUCAACACACGUAAUUAAGAAACUAGAAUAGAGCAUUCUGAUGCUGGUUGGUAAUGAGGUUUCUAGUGGGUUAUGGAAUUAGCUAUCAAAUGAGAAAUGGUGAAUAUAUGAAAAUCUUGCCUGUGCACAGUACCCAAGUUUCAUAUCCAUUCCCCAUCCAUGGACAAGAUCAUUCUGCACAAAGAAAAUAACAUGUGAAAAUGCACUUACCAAAUAAAAUGCAAUUGGGGGGAUUGAGGGGAUGGGGAAAAGGGAGAGAGAGUAAAGGUGUAAAUGCUGAAUUAGAUUAAGAGAACUACCUGUAUAAGAUGCCAAGUACAAUGCCAAGCGGAUUUCGAGAAUACAGGGGCCAUACCUUCCACAAACCUAGAAAAUAGGUCAUUUUAAAAGUUGGUUGAUUUUCCCAAACUGAUUGGUGGCGAACAGAGACAAAAGAAAAGACAAACUCAUGCCAACCACAAUAUCCGACAAGAUACUUUUUUUAAUUUGAUUAACAUCACAAAGACAAAUUUCUUUUUUUUUUUUUCAUCAGACAAUACUUUGUGUUUUUUGAUGACACAAAAUAUGUUUGCUCAAUGUACCAGAAUAAUUGUUAAAAUGCAGUAAAAGAAGGAAUGUACUAUCAUAGUAGAUGAAAUAGCAUUCGCGAGAAAAUUAAGUGCAUCCACACAAUCACUUACCCAGUGCAAGGUGGCUCCUCACUUUCAUCAGAACAUUUCACAUUGCCUCUAAGAUCAUAAACUCUUCUGCAUGGACUACUAAAUGUUAGAACGAUACGCACGUGAUUAAGUAGAAUGUUUCAUAGAGUUCUGUUAAAAUGUCUGUUUUACCUAUGUAUCUUCUUUGUUCGCGCACGGACGGUAAUUCUAUGAUGAAUAUCAGUCGAAUUUGGGUCCAAAGCAGGCUGAGAUAUUUCUAGUCCUUCAGACUUCACAAUUUCCAGGUAUCUGAAAUUUAUCAAAUGUUAGAUGAAAAAUUGGAUAUUUCUUUCUAAUGUGAGGGGCUGAUACAGUUAGCAAUGUUUGGCCACGUCUUUUUAUGUUAUUAUUAUCUUUUAAAAUAAGAAGCAAGGUUAUGUGUCAAAGUGAGCAUAGCUCAGUGGUGGUAACUGAUAUAUACUCUUUCCUUGAGGUCGGAGGUUCAAAUAUCAUUUGCUUUGUGGUUGCAAAUAGUUGUGUGUACUCAGUAGCUAAAAAUAAAGCAUAACAUUGCAAAAGCUAGAAAAGUGCCAAGUUUAUAACGACGGAUCAGGUUUCAUAAAUUCCUUGAAUGUUAAAUUCAUUUCAAUGGUAGUUCAUGGGAAAUUCCUAAACAUGAGCAUUCUAGUGUUAAAUAAUAAAUAAAUAAGAAUAGCACAUAAAUAUGGAUACAAUUCAAUUCUUCAUUACUGUUAUUAAUUGGGGUAACUUGAAGUGUAACAUUAAAACAUAAACAGCUUAUUAAUAGUAGACUACAACAUGACAAAAUCGGAGAAAGAAUUAAUCUAACAGGGAAAUCAUUGAUGACUUUUUCAUAAGAAGAUUUAAAGCUGAACAAAUUUAUUUCUGUACCUUCUUGGGCUAAAAUGUUCAACCCCCAAAUCUUCAUCCCAAAGAAAUAUGUAAUCAUAAAUGGACACGACUGCUGGUUGCAAAAAGCGCUUUGCAUACCACCUGAGGAGAAUGCAAAAGACGACAAACCAUUUAAACCAAACAGCGACCAUUCUAAUUCCAAAUACCAUUGGAGAUUCCUUAGCCAGAGAGUGCAAACAAUAGAAAGGAAAAAUGCAGAUAGUCAAGCAUACCACUUUGUUUGGUUUCGGACUGCUAUGUGUAUGGCAUCAUUACACCAGUCAAGAUCCCACCAUCCAUCCACGUUGCCAUCAUAAUGAAAGAGAAUAAUAGUGAAGUUCUCUGGAAUAAACUGAAAUGCAUGGAGUUAGAUAUAGAAUAAUCCCAAUAAAUAUCCUUGAUGACAAAUGAUAACAAGAUCAUACUUUCUGUACAAUAGAAUUAACAUUUUCCUUUUGUUUGAUGCCAACUGGAAUUGCAAGCAAAUUCCGGUUGCUGUAAUCAUGACCCUGAAAUUUAUACCAAUCAAGACAACAGAAGUAAUUGUCAAAUCUUUCAGCAAUAAUAACAAAGGCCUUCCACAGUCCAACCAAUAUGGAUGUAAAAAUCAACUGAAAGUAUCUACAAGCACAUCCAAGUAUAAGCCUUAUGAAAAAAAAAUAGUGAUAGAAACCAACCUUUAACCUUGAACUACUAGUUCCCCAAAGAGGUCUCAACUCCAAAUCUGAUCUAGCUUCUACUAUGCCUCGUGGCAAACCAUUCAGGUUUUGAGACUCCUCUGGGUAGUCCUAAAGGGACAUUUAAAAAAAAAAGAAAUUGAAUGGUGAGCAUUCAUUGACAUUGGCUACUCAUACAAGAACGUAGAGAAGCAACAGAAUAUCUUUACUGAAUAAAAUUUAGAUAUUUUAGAUAAUCACAAGAACUGUAUUUCAACCCAGGAAGAAAAGGUAGGGAGAGAACCAAUUUGGUUAAAGAUGAGCAGGAAUGACAGAAGAAUUUACCUUUGCGGUGUCGAAGGGUUGCAAGGCUGUUUCAAUCUGAAGGGGAAAGAAAAUAGGUAAGUACAGCUUCAGCUUAAUGACCAAACUUAAUUCCAUGGGAUUUAUUACUAAAAUAUUAAAAAAAAUAUCUGAUUUCAGAUGUCCCAAGUAAACCUAAGAUUCCCAUACAAUGAAAACAACCUUACCUUAGUCUGAAGAUAUUGGUAAUUUGUAGUUCUGUAUAUAAUAAACAGCAUUACAGAACAAAUAACACCCAUAAAUGGAAGCUGCUUCAUUUUGAAGCCGUAUUUUCCCUGCACAACCAUUGUAUGCUUAGGACACUUUAAGAAAAUCAAACGGACAUUAGCAGGAAGGGUAAAACUUAUUCGAAAACAUAAAAUCAUAAUUCCAGCUAACCUAAAACCUAAUAGCAAAAACUAGUGAGCUUACCGCAUCAGAAAAUAGAUUCCUUUUUCUGAGCAGAAUGUCCCAUGAUUUAAGUGGCUUCAUAGGCAGCAAUACCUCCUAUCUUGGGCUCAUAAAGACGGCUAUAACUACAAACAAAGAAGAUGAAAUUAAAUCAUUAGUAGUCAAUGAAAAAUAAUCACAACAAACAGAAAGUUCUGUAUUUCUUUUUUUAAUGAUAUUCGUUCAGCAAAAACAUCACUUUUGUCAUUUAACUUCUUCUCCCUUUUCACUCCGUCAGUUGGAUUAGUGAGGAGUGUAAAAUAUAAUUAAACUUCACACAGUUUUGUAAAAUAUAAUUAAACUUUACACAGUUUAAGUAGCAAACAUUUCAUAAGUAUGAACAAGAAUUUUGUGGAUAUAAUUUCAUGGAAACAGAAAUUAAACAAGAUUAAGAAAAAUAAAACUGUUACAUAAAAGAAAACUAACGUAAAUUCAAGAUCAGGCGGUCACAUGAUCAAAUAUUACAAAAAUACUAUCAAUACCAUAAUAUUUAAACUAUAGACUAAAGAACUUAGAGUCAAAUUUGUCCAAUUUUGGACAGCUAAGAUAAGAAAGAAACAAAGCAUAAGAAGCUUGCAUAUCCACUUUAUAUGCAUUCGACAAAUUGUUACACGGCCAAGUGAUGGUUCGAGUACAGAAAGGAGCAAGCAAAAGACAUUGGGGAUCAUCUUAAUUCUGCAUUUUGUGACAAUAUCCAUAUCCACAAUUAACCUAAAAUGAAAAAAAGAAAAAACAAUAGAAAACUCGUACGAAUCUUACAAUUAGACCUUCCCCCAUUUUCCACAAAAUUGCCAACUAACCCAGAACCAAAGGGAAGUGAACAGAAGCUAACGAGAAGCCGAUUCAGAGUCAAGAAGAAAAGAUAGGAAAAAUGAAAAUCUAGAAGCAUAUAGAGAAGGAAAUAGCUCUAGCUCUACCAUAUUUCCAUUCUCAUUUGGAACGAGAGAAGCAACAUUUCCAACUUAAAAAUCUGAAACAAAACAUAUGGUAAUUUCCAAAAGAUCCAUAUUUCUAUUGUUCUAGAGAAAAAGAAAAGAAAAUGUAAAGAUUAAGGCAUGUUUCAGACUAAACAUUGGAUCCUUAAGUAGUCCUCCUCCAUUGAUGAUGAAAUAAGAAGAAACCGUACAAUGCAAGGGGACCCCUAAUCCAAAAAAUGCCCAAAGGGACCAGAUCUUUCCAGAGUGGAUUCACAUACAAAAAUACACAAGAGAUAACAAAAAUUACCUCAAAGAUUGCCCAGCUACAGAGAGGUGUAGAACUUCAGCUGAAACGGCAAAUAAAAAAGAAAAAAAAAAAAGAGAGAGAGAGAGAGAGAUCUUUGGCUAAACCCAGAAAAGAGGAACACCGGAAUGGAUCAAAAACUGUGAAGAAUCACAGAAAACAUGAGGAAAGAAAGUGAUUGAUGAGCAAAAAGAAGAGAAAAAGGAAAACGACGGAGAAAAACAGAGGAAGAGAAAAAGGGGUGAAAGAAGAAACGGAGAGAAAAGAAGAACGAAAGAGUAGGAUGCGCCACGUUUUAAGGGAAGAAGACACUUUCCCAUUUAGCUUCUUUGCAUGUCGUUGGAUUACCAAAAAGACAUCACAAAUGAUACAGUGGCUUUCCUUUCGACUUUUGCUCUCCAACCCGACCAAUUUACUCUUUUUUAUCCUUCCUCCUCCUUCCUUUAUAUUACUUACUAACCAAUUCGGUAACCAAACUUACCUACCAUCAACCAUCUAUAUACCUUUCACAAGCACCAUGCAACAUUCUCAAUCACAUCAUCAACAAACUACUCUAAUUUUGUACAUCAAUCUUAUGCUCUAUUUCAAAUAAAUUACUAACCAUUUACUCUCUAAAUUUUGAUUUUUUUUCUAUGCUCUUCACAAUUUAAUUUCAAAUUAGUUAGGAUGUUUCUAACAACUUAAAAUGACAAAUGAAAUCUACACAUCAUUAUACUGUUUGAAAAUAUAGUCAUAACCAUUUUAGAUUGUAAAAGAUUUCCUCUUCUUUUUUUUUUUUCCUUGGAAUCUAGUCUUAAAUAUUUGCCCACAUCUUAAUAUUUUGAUUAUGUGUAAAGCCCUAUUCCCUUUCAUUCUCACUAUAUUAUUCCUUGUGAUUAUUGUUUUGUUAUUCCUUUUGGUUGUUCUUAAAUUACGUUCUUUUCAAUAUUUCCCUUUUUGCCAACUUGUUGAAAUUUAUGUCUUUUUCUUUUAGAUUCUCACACUUUUCUGAUUCUGUGUGUGUUUUUAUUUGAUUAGAUUAUAUUAGAUUAGAUUGUUUAUGUUUUUAAUUAUUUGUCCCACUGGGUAUCUCCAUUUUGUUACUUUACGUUAUGUAAUUCCUCUUUUCAACUAAAUUAUUUUGUCAUCUCCCUCUCUCUAUCAAAUAAUAGUAGUAGUAGUAAUUAAUAGAAAUAGUGAUAAUCACAAAUUGUAUUGUUCCUUAUUCACACUUAAUUUUAGCAUAUAUCGUUUCCCUCAAGAAAAAUAAUAGUAUUACGUGGUUUCAUCAAGACUCUGGUUUUAAUUAACUUUUAAGAAGUUUGAGUACAUCUUUUGUAAUUAUUAACCAUAUAUGUUAAUUCAACUAUGUUUUACUUAAAAAUUAAGUUUCUUUUAGCUUGUUUGGGAUUCAAAAAAAGAUUUGAAAAUUCUAAAAAUGGAUGGUUAAAUCCUGAAGGUAGAGAGAACUCAGUUAUUUUAGUUUUUAAUCUUUCCAUAUAGUGAAACAUUUUUCAAUAGAAUACUAAAACCACGCGUAUAUGUUUUAAAGUCCAUAAAUUCGGUACCAUAUAAAGUCAUGUGUAACACUAAAUUUAAAACUAAGUUAAAUUAUUAACUAAAUCUGGAAAUUACAAUUAUAUAAAUUAUUAACUGAAUCUGGAAAUUACAAAAUACAUAUAUAUAUAAUUAAUUAAUUAACUAACUUAAUUGAAAAACUACAUAUAUAAAAUAAUAAUUAAAAUAACAAUUGAAACUAUUUACUAAAUAUAAUCUAAACUCUAUCUAAUCUAUUUUAUUUAAUUUUGUUGAAUAGUUUUAUUUUUUCUCCAUUAUCCUAUAUUGAAAUAUAUAUAAUAUGUUUCUUGAACUUUGCAUAUAACAUAGUUUUUAAAAUGUGUCUAUUCUUUUAAAUAAAUGUGUUGUUAUUUAAAUAUCUUUGUUCUUUGGAAUUUAGGAUUGGAAUUGGGAACUUAGAUUGAGUGUGAUAGUGGCAUAUUGUAUGAUGUGCUUUUGUUUAUAUCUUAAUUAUAGUUUCGACUCGUUGUAUGAUGUGGUUUUGUUUAUAAUUCAAAAUUCUCUAUUUUAAAACCUUUAUAAAAUGAUUAAAUUAGUAUAAUGAUUAUUUUUAAACAGAUAACAAACGUUAAAAUUAUUUUUAAUGAUUCAAAAGAGUGUUGAGAAGUUGACAAAAGUCACAUUUAUAUUUUUAUUUUAACAAAUAGUACAUUUUUUUAAAACUUUAUUGAUAAAAUUAUACUCAAAUUUCUCUAAAAUGUUAAAAUUUUCUAAUUUAUCGAUGCAUAGACAUUUGAAAGCGAGAUUCUACCCUUUUUUUAAUAUGCUAAAAUCUUAUUUAAUUUUUUAUCUUAAAAAAUAGUUAAGAUCUUGAGAGAUUUAAAAAACGGUAGAAUUUCUAUCACUAUAGCAUCUACCUAUAUGUGCAUAAAAAUCCAAUUGAUAAAUUUGAAAUUUUUUAGGAUUUUAGGGAAAUCUCGAAAUCACUUUCAUAUGAAAUUGACUGAAAAAAAGUUUUGUUAAAAAAUGUGCUACUUUUGAAAUCGGAAAUCAAAAGUGUUACUUUUGUCAAUUUUUCAAAAGUAACUCUUAAACUAAGGUUGUAUAAAAUAAUAAAAGUCAAGAUUCUUGAACUAAAUGGACCAAAGUUAGAAUAAUACACUUUGAUUAAUAUUGAGUUUCUCACUUGAACUUUCUUUAGAAUAAUUUUAUUAGAUUUAUUGAGUAAAUGAAAAGAAGUACUAAAUAAGAGUCUUGUUAUUCUCUUAGAGCUUAAUUAGAAAUCUUAAUUAACAGAAAAUAACUCUUUAUCGCAUAGACUAAAGACAAAGGUUUUAUCUUCCCAUUAGAGAGUUAAUUAGCAAGUUAUCUUUUACUUAACUAGUCAAACAAUAUAAUAGUAAAUAUAAAAUAGCAGAUAAAUCCAUAAUAAGUUUAAACUUAAUACUAAUCCAGAAAAUUAUAAAGAAACAAAGGGAAAAAAAUAAUACUUAAUUGAAAUUAGUGUACGUAUAAUUUUCAAUCAUCUUAAGCAGUAAAACAAAGAAUAUCUUCUUGAAAAAAUUUAAAUGGAUCUAAAGAACCAGAAUAUGGAAAAAUCACAAAAGAAAGAAAGAAAAACAAAAAAAAAAAAGAUUUCUCAUGGAAUAAAUAAAAAGUAAAAAAACUUUAGAAACCAAUCAUAAAACAACAGGUGGGCUCUUUUACUUUAGAUUUCGCAUCCUCGAAUCCUUACUUUUUCAGCUGCGGCUAUGAAGAACGAUAAAUUCAAAAGUAGCAAUGGAUAUCAUUUUCAUGAUUAAAACAUUAUUAUAUCUUACCUUACCUUACCUUAUUUUAAUUAUUUAGAUUACCGUGACAUCAGAGGCUAUAGCACCGUCACACAUUUAUUUAUAAAUACAGAAAUACACCCCCGUAUAUCGCAAAAUCUAGAAUUAAUUAUAUGAUUGUUUAUUAGUUCAACAUAGACAACAGUAGUACUGGGUAUCAUUAUAACAAUUAAUAUCACUUAAAAGCCACCUUAUGUAUUGUUUAUACUUUAUAGCACCGCCGUCAUGAUGACUUUCAUGUGUCUUUGUCUUUCUUUUUUUCUUUUUUCCAUUACUUUCUCUGUCACACAUUAACACCCUUCAAUAAUUAUCCUUUAAUAACAAAUAUAUAACACUAAGUUUUCAAAAGAAAGGUAACAACAGAUAAGUUAAAUUAAAUUUAUAGGAAGCUAAGAUGUCAUUAUAAUUUUGUUUAAUCAGAAUGAUGAUUAGCAUAUAAAUUGGAGGUAAUAUUAAUGGUAGAGCGUUACCUCGUAUGCGCAUCACGUGGGUAUUUAUGGGGUAAGGUGCAGUGUGCACCCGUGUGUGCCACGUAUGGGAAUCAUGGAGGAAAUCGUACCCGUUUAUUUUUAAUUGUUAAGAUUGUUAUUUUGCACGUGAUUACACCAGAUGACGUUAAUUAGUUUUUUCUUUUAAAAAAAGAAUUUGGUAAAAUAUAGAAAAUGUCAGAUGAGGAAAGUAAAGUGUAGAACACAAAUGUUUUGAAUUUCUUCGCAAUUCUUUUUUUUUCAAAUUGACUUUUAUUGUCAAUCCAACUUUCACAGAUUAUGUUAUCUUUCCAUUUUUUUGUUUGCAUUCCAUUAUUAAUAUUUUAAAUUUAAUUAUUAUAUUUGCUAUAUUCGGUUAGCGUCGAGUGGUCAAUUAAAAUGAUUGCUUAUGAUUGCUUGUUUUGUAAGUUCGUCAUGCAUGGAGUAUAGCCGUGUAGGAUAGUUGUAAAUACAAUUAUUAGAUUCAAAUUAGUAAUAUAUAUAAUAAUAUUUUUUUCAAAAUGUUGUUAUAUAGGUUAUUAUUAUUCUUAAAGUUGUUAUCCGUUAUCAUUACUUUUAGGUAUUAGAUAUAUGGUGCACUAAAUUAAUAAAUAAUAGAUUACUUUAAAAUUUUAAAAAGCAACCACACAUAAUUAUAUAAUAAUAUAAGAUAAAUAAUAACAAUAACUUUAGAAGUUUAUAAUAAAAUGAUAAAAAAAUAUAUUUAUAAAUAUAGUAAAAUUUUAUUUUUCUACCUAUACAUAUAAAGAGUAGCUUAUUGUAUUCUAUCACUAAUAUAUUUAUAAAUAUUUUCAGCUGAUCGUUAUUUAAAAAAAAAAUUCAAAACGUUUGAGAUUGAAUUAUAUCGAACUUGGUUACUUAAUCGUGUAAAUUUUCAAGCUCGUUGUUUUGAUUUCAUUAUGCAUAAAGGAUUGACAAUUAUUCAAGUUUAUAUUUUAACAGACAGUGUCCUUUCCCGUGAUCCUAAAUUUUUAGAAAAGAAUUUGACAUCAUGUUCGUAUCAGUAUCUAUGUUUUUUUUUUUUUGGAGGUCAACAAACAAUCAAAGUAGACGUGGGACUAUUUUGAACUCCUUUUUACUUUGACGUGGGACUAUUUUGAACUCCUUUUCAAAUUUCAUAUAGAAUGGAUGAACAUAUAUAUAUACUCUCAUGAGUUCAUGUAAGUUCUUUUCUGGCGGUCAACAAAUUGCUGGAGGAGUGAGAUUUCAUCACAGAUAUAUAUUUUAAACAAUUAAAUAAUCUCCAACUUAAAAAGUUAUUUAUUAAAAACUGGGCAGAUGAUAGGUUCACAUGUCAACGUAAUGUCAUAAUCAUCUCAAUAAUAUGGGUUGUAAAGUAGUUUAGAGCCCAAUUGAAACUUUAUUGCAUCAAUGAUAUGGGUUGUCUGCUUACAACAUUUUAUCACCUCUACCAUAGUUUUUUCUUUCUUUUCUAAGUACAGCCAUUGAAAAGGCAUCAAAAGAUGUUCAAUGUUCAUAAGCAUAGUUAUGAAUAAAUUUCUGAUCAUAUCAUUACCUAACAACUGACAAUAUUCUUCUGAUUUUUCAUGGGAAUUAACAUUCUAUGAGAACAAAUUAUAUAUGAAACAAAUACAAAAAUCAAUCCCAUCAAAGAUUAAGACAGGAGUAUUCCAAUUCCCAUUAUCUUUCCAAUUUUUCUAGAGCCAAAAACAUCCUUAAAGCCUCAGUCUACCUGGUUUACAACAUACAAGUUCUAGCCUGAGAAUCUAUCAAGAAAUAGUUUUGAACUUUUUACCAUUUACUUCGUUUUCCCUCUUUUCCUUCCCCUGAUGCCAGUUGCAGAUCGUUCACUUUUCGAUGUCCCACCGACAGCCUUUCUCGUCCCACCAGGGGCUUUCUUUAGCAUAGAAGUCGAAGUUUCUUUCUUUGCCAACCCCAACGAGGAAGGAGGAUUAGAGCUAUUAUUUUUUCUUCUUCUAUUUCCCUUUGGAGUUUUAACAUCUCCUGGAUUGGCUUCUCUUUGGGAUUCAUUACGUUUAGCUGGCUGCGAACGACGCGGUUUUGCUAUCAGAUCACAGGUUUGUGUUCUCUUGUUGGGGGUGUUAUGAGCUACCAUAUUGCUAGAGCUCUUCAUUUGCUUCUCAAAUGUACUUGAAAUGAGUCUUCUGAGCAACACUGCAGACUGAUGCUCACGGGAAUUCCGUGAGUAGAAGACGAGUGCGUUGUUAGCAAGCAACAACAGAUCUCUGUACAACUCCAUUUUUGUCGUAAUGUUAUGACUUGCAACUCUUGAUCUUAUUGUUUCAAUAUCCAAAUGUUGCCUGAUUAGUUUCUUAUAUCUACUUCUCCUCUGUUACAUAUUCAUAUGGUCAUAAGCAAUCAACUUGUUGAGUCAAAACAAAAUAUUUGUUCUUUCUUACAUUCUGAAAUGGUUUACUCAAUAACAAGAUGCAACCAAAUUGAGAGAAUACAAUUCAAGAAAAGGAAGAGUAUCUUUAUUGUAUUGUACCUGACUAUCAAGGCGACGACGAAAUAGGGAGGCACUUUUGUCCUCUGCAACAGUGUUAAAAGCAGCCAUUAAAACAUCAACACCAUCCAUGGCUGAGCUUCUGCUAGCUUCAUUUGCAUCCGAAGGUUCACGUGCCUCAAACGAGUUGCAACAUGAGUUUUCUUUAGACUGUGAAACAGUUGAAGGGUUAGCUGAUUCAGACAAGUUAUUUUCCCCACUACUUCCUUCCUUAACUUCCCUAUUACAAUCCUUCCUCUUUCUUUUCCCUCUUGAUCUCUUCCUAAUUAUUCCUCCUUGGUUUUCAUACAAUACCUCUCCCAACUUCCCAAUUCUCGAGGCUUUUCCUCGUUCCAGAGACUGCAAGGGUUCUGGUUUAAUCUCAGUCUCUUUGGUCGACAAUGGAGCUGGCUGGCACUCGAUCGAACUGCAUGUCGUCCUGUUUUCCUGCGUGAAGCUACUGGCAGAUAGCUCAUUCGUUGGCUUCUGAACAGCUCCCCAAGAUUCUGAUCUGGUAGAGCCAUUGACAAGAGACUUGUCUGAUCCACUCCUUGACUUAAGAGCUUCAAGCUUUGAUUCCAAUGACCUGAAAUCUAUUAAAGCUAAAGUAAUGCUGCAGAUACAGCCUUGGAUUCAAUAAGUUCUCCAGCAGUUUAUGAAACUUAACCUUCAUCAUGGAUACUUGUAAUGUCUUGUAAAUCUAAUUGCAUAGUUCUUACAAUUAAACCUCUCAAUCCAAAUCUAAACAUUGGAUCUCGUCGUAUAAGUUUUCGUACCUUUAAGCACUACUUUUGUUCUUACACUUUUAAUCUUAAUUUUUGUUUCAUUUUGAUCCUUGCAUUUUCAAAAUAUUAAUUUUAAUGUUUGUAAUUUUAGAAAAUGAUCUGUUUAAAGACUACUUUGGUUCUUCCAUACAAAUACCAAAAUGAACAUUUUGAAAAAUACCAAAACGAACAUUUUGAAAGUAUAGAAAUCAAAAUAAACCCAAUAAAAACGUAAGGUCCAAAAUGAACCAAGUCAAGAACUAGUAUUUGAACCAACUGGUUUAGAUUAUUCCGGUGCUUAUGUAUGAAUCAAACAUAAUGCAUAAUAUACAUAACAAUUUACUGACCCUAUUGAGUCUUCAGAAUGCUCUAGAGCCUGUCUUAGUUCCAUCAUUCUUUUUCGUCGAAGCUCCUCAUACCAAGCUCUGUUAACAAAGAAUUAAUAUUUCAAAAUCCCAUAAAGUAAAAUUUAAUCAAGUUUCAAUUAUUUUAGAAUUUAACUUGGGCUUGUUAAGAAAAGAUAAACCAUAAAGUUAAUCUGACAGAGAUUUACUUGCAUCCAACAAAACGCUUCUUCAAGUCUUCAUAUUUCGCCUUACAAACCUGCAAAUGUAAACAUACCAUUAAAUUCAUUACUAAUUUUAAAAUAAAACUGACAGCCCAUUUUAAAAUCUUAUAACAUGUUUCUAUUGCACUUCUGCCAUUGAAACCAAUAAUACACUGAAAUGUGAGGUUGAAUCAAUUUAAAUCUGGAACUAAUAAAUUCUAAACUUUCAGUAAGUAUACAAUUGAUGAGCGUUUUGUUUUCAUUUCCUUCAAAAAUUGUUUAUUCAUUAAUCCAUUAAGAUUUCCUUCGAAAACCUUUAAACUUUUAUUAUCAAUCCAACAUAGACAACUUUCAAAUGUAACCUUAAUAAAGAAUCUAAAUUGAUUCUUUGAACGAAUUAGACUGUUAAUGGAAAAAAUUAUUAGUUUAGAAUUUAGAAUGAUAUAAGAGAAAAUGAAGAGAGGUAAAUUAAUAUAUAUUGGAUUAUAUUAAAUAGAUAUUAAUGGUGGGGGCAUGAUUGAAAAGAAAAAAGAGAUUUGAAUUCACAAAUAGAACAACCUAUAAUGUAUGUCAAAGUUUAGAGGAAAUGAUAUUAAUAAUAAGAAGCAGCAGCGACGUAUGGUUGAAUAGAAAAGGUCAAUAAACUUGGUAAUGGAUGGAGUCAAGAUAGACGAUGUAUAUGUAAAUAUCACAUAUCUUCACCAACCAAAAUUCCUUUUCUAUAAUUAAUAUUUUUGUUCUUUUGCCACUAAAAAAAUAAUAAUCAAUUUUUAAUUUUUGUAAAAAAAAAAAAAACAAAUAUUAAAAUUAAUAGAAAAAGGGCACCUUAUUUUAUUUAAUUUAAAAGUAUCGUUAUUUUAUGAUGUAUUGGAGUGGACCCAGUGGGUAAAAACGACAUUCUUUAUAUUAAGGGUUUGGCGUGAAACUGCCUAUGGCGGGAUAGGGGGGAGUGGCUAACCAUAUCAAUUUUUUUCAAAACUAAAAUUAGAACCCAGAAAUUAAAAAACAAUGUGAUGGGCAAAUUUUCAAAUUUCAUCCUAAAUGGUAAAACAUAUUUUAAAUUUCAAUAAUUAUUUCAAAAUUUAUGGACACUUUUUUGGGUCAACUUAAUUUUUAAUAAUCUUAAAUGAGUUUUAUGGAGAAAUUACGAUAUAAUUGUGAAGUAAAUUACCCCGAAAUUGACUAUUGUUUUUUUGAAGUCAAUGAUUUAAUUUUAGAAAAUACAAAGUGUAAAUGGAUUGUGUUUUCAUUUUUUUUUUUAGAAAUGAAGAAAGUUAAAAAAUCCUUUUUCUUUUUAUUUUUUAUUUUCUAAAAAAGAUGAGAAAUAAUUAAGGCAAAAUAUAAGGAAACAAAAAAGGAAGAAAAACUGGAGAAUAAUUCUCUCUGUUUUUGGUUUGAAAAAAAAGGUAAAAUGAGAAUAAAAGAUUGCUUUUACCUCGGGGGUGCAGGCGUACGGACGAGCAAUCCUGGACCGGAGCUCGGUGGCGACGAGGUUCCAGUCGGCGGUACCGUGGCGGAGUAUGGCGCCACCUAAUAAAAGCUCUUGCCACGUAUCCCACAUCAUCUUCAAUGCUUCCGCUCCCAUAUUAAUGACCCAGAACCCUAACUCGGCUUCAAAUAAAAAGGGAAAAUGUCUGAGGUUAUGGUUUUCCGGCGGAGGAAUUGGCUGUUUUGGAUGGGAAUGGGUGGGGGUACGUUGGAGGGUUCAUUGCUUUGUUUCUAUCUUUUUAAAAAAUAAAAAAUAAAAAAUAAAAAAGGUUAUGUGUGAAGUGAAUUGUGCGUAAUGGAAUUUUUUUGGGUAUUAUUGUUGAGGGCGAGAAUUGGGGUUUCUCAUUGCUUUUAAUAGAAGGGGUCGAAGAAGGGCAAAAGACAAACAAAAUACAAAAGAACAAAUAGAAAAUUGUUUUUGGAAAAGAGAGAGAUAGAUAGAGUUAAAUUCUGUUUAAAUAGGUUUUUUUUUUUAAUUUUUUUGAACCUAAGAAACAUAAAUAGAUCUUCUCUCGAUCAAACGAGGGACCCUGGCAGGUUUGGGCCUCCUCUCCCUCUCUUUCCAUUCCUAAUUGGCUUCCUAAAUCUUUUAAAUAUUUUAAAAAUCUACUGCAAAUAAAAUGGAUUUUCUUAAGUUUAUUUAAAUAUUUUUUAUUUCUUCUAUUAUAAUCUUUCGUAGAUUGUUGAGAUUGAUAUAUUUUUAUAACUACCUAUAAAUAUUAUUAUGGAUUUUAAAACUGUUUUUGGAUUCUAUACACAAAUUCUAAAAACUAAAUUAAAAAUGUUUACGAAAUAUAACCUUAACAAAAAAACAAAUUAUUUCCCUUUGGUAAUGCUUUCUCACUUUUUACCAUCCCCAUUUUACAUUUUAAAUAUUUUAGUUUUAUAUUUAAAAAUUAUGUUUAGUGUCUAUCGUUUAUGAUUAGAAUUUAGCUUAUUUGUUCAAUAAAAUCAUAGAAAUAACUCAUUCGUUGGAACUAUAUAUGAAAAAUUUUCAAACCAUAAGAACUUUAUAUAUAUAUAUAUAAAAGGUUUUAUCAAAUUAUAGAGACUAAACUCUUACGACUAAAUUUGCAAUUUAACCAACUUUUAGAAUAUAAAUUAGGUUCAUAAAUGAAUUAACAAUAACACAUUAUCAACUAAAUCUUAGUAGUUAAGUAAUCAUUAAUUUAAUGAAUUAGAAAUAUGUACAUUAUCAAACACAUUUAAACAUUUUUCAAAAUUAAAUCAAAAUUUUGAUUAUGUGACAGAAUACAUAUAUGCAUUACUUUUUAUAUUCGGAACAAAAUCACUAGACAAAAUUAAUUACAUUUAAUUUUUUUAGAAUGGUAGAUUUUUUGUGUAGAAUAUUUUUUAUCUUUUUAUAAAAAUAUUUUCAAAUAUAGUAAAAUAGCCUAAAAUAUUUACAAAAUAUACUAAUAAAUUUUUAUUACUGUCUAUCAACAUUGAUAAAAGUAUAGUGCCUGUUAUAAUAUGAAAUUUAUGAUCUAGAUCAUAAAAAAACUUAUAAAUAUUGAUAUAUUUGAAUUGAGUUUUAUUUUGAUCAGAUUGUUUACCUUAAACUUUUACUAAGAAAGUUUUAUGUAGAAAUAAUGUUUAAUUGGAGUUAAAAAUAUAAGUUUGAAAAAGGAAAUAAAACUCAAAUCUCACCAAUGAAAUAAAUACAUAAAACCAAACUCAAAACUAAAAGUACAACAUUUCGAAAUUUAGAGAUGAAAUACAAAAUUCAUAUUCCAUGAGAGAGAGGUACAAUGAUAUAAAGUGAAACUCUACCUCUAUACAAUUCAAAUACAAGUUAUACAUACUGAAUAGUCUCAGUUCUCAAAUCUGUGAAGAAAAUGCCCCAAGAAUAUGAAGAAUCAUUGCCUUUGUUCCCCCUGCUAAUGCUACAACCAUAAUAGUGGUUAUUUCUAUUUCUUAAAAUUAACAUGUAAAGGAAACUUUUUACUUACACACAAAUAGAACAAACGGAUUUCACUCUAACUCAUAUAUUUGCAUUGAAUGUCUCCACGCAUUACAUGUAUGGUAUGAAUUGGCACAUAAUUACACAUUGUUAAUCAAAAGAUACAGACAAUACCCGGAACAUGAAGAAUCAAAGUGAGGAGGGCCGGCUUCCAACGUUCCAUCUAAACAUUCCAACAUGCCAAUUUCCCUGUCGUCUUCUAAGUUUUUUUUCUGUCGAUUACCCUGCUGGAUUCCCCUUUACAACCGACGAAACCAGAACUGGAAGCAAGCAUCCGGCUAAUUUGUGGGAUGACUAUGGCUUCAACUUUAAAAGAUGUUGCAUCUGCCCGUUCUUUCUAUUAGGGGUGUCAGCCUACCUACUUAUUUGUUCUUUGCCAGAAGUUUGGCACGGUGAACCAAACUUAACAUUGUUGAAGAACUAGAUUCAAUUCCUGAGCACUUCUAGCUAGUGAACCACCUCUCCUGCAAGGAUGGGAAAAAAAAAUGAAACAUGGAGCGAUAGUGUCCCAUCCGGAGCUUGGGAUUCAAGUUGAUAUGUCGAUUGGCAGAGUCCAACAAGAAAAUGAUUAUACCUUACAAAUGAUGGAAUAAUUUUUUGAACCUUCUGCAGUUGGGUAAAGCAUUGCUUGCAGCAUUGUACCCUGUGUUUGAGUUGAGUUGCAAUGCAAGCGGAUAACAUUAUAUUUAGUCUGAUUUACAUAUAUUAUAAAGGAAGUGAAAACAAGAUGAAAAUUCACCUCUGUUCCGCAUGAAGGUCAACACCGACUACUGGAGGUGCUGAUACUGCUGAGCUUAUAACAUGACCAAAAACUGCUACAAGCUUCACUAGAAUCUCCAUUGACAAACUGGCAUGCCUAGCAUACCAUAUAAAACGUAGUCCAUAAGUUCUUACAUCUUAGCAAAAUGUCACAAAAAAAAAAAAAAAAAAUUUAACUGUUGAAAAUUAGCGAUAUUUUCAACGUGCAUCAUGUCAUUGAUAUUCCAGAAAUUUUCAUCAAGAUGGGGAAGAAGCUAGAAAAAGAUAGGAAGGCUCUGGUUCUCAGUUUGGUUAAAAUCUUUGAAUCACAAGACAAUAAAUAUUUUAGUACUUUACACCUAAGACAAUUACCUUUCUAUCUUGCUAUCCAAUAAACCCACAAGUACAGGAAGUAAGCAUGAGAAUAAAUCUAGAGUCAAGACAUCCAUCUUGUCAACGAGAACGCUGAUCACAUCUGCUUGCACCUGUAUCAGGACCAGACUCUUAGAAAGCCCCAUUUGGAAACAGAGAAGAUACAUUUGCUUGAGGAAUUUAAGGAACUUAACAUGAAUAAACUAAUUCAAAAGGUACACACCGAAUGAUCCGGAAGCUUUGUCAUGGCAUUAAUGGCGCCUUUCAUGUCGUUCCGCUCCCAAAAGUGUCGUACCACCUGCAGGACACUCAUUAAUAUUGUUGAUUUUAUGGAAUCAAUCUAUAUUUCAUUAAUUACUUAAUAGAGAUACAAGCCUAUAUAUAACCAUAGAGAAAUACACUUAAAGAAAUAAUAUCAAAUAAUAUCUCCAGAAUAAUAUCUCCUAAGAAUAAUAUCUCCUAAGAAUAAUCUAAUUAUAUUAAUAAAUAUGACCGCAACCUCCAAGAGAAGUUAAUGUUCCAAAACAAAGCCAAACAUUUGUUUCAAUUGAAGUUAUCCAAAUCAUCACAAAUUGACUGAUAAAAGCCACAUAACAAAGUUGUUCUCUAAAGUCUAACCAAGCACGUCGAUAAGUCUGCAAUUUUUUCGGGUGGCACACAAUAUUUAUUUUCUUUUCUUUUCUUUUUCCAAGGGGAAAACCCCCUGACAUGUGAAGCUUAAGGCAAGUGGCUCAUUUACAAAGCUACUGCUGUCAAAAGAAGAUUACCUGCAAUUUUGUCAAGCGGGAUCGGAGGGUACUUAAGAAUACAUCAUGAGAUUGCAUCAAAUCUUCAAUGACAUCCCUGUCAUUUGCAGAGGUAGAAUCUCUUCCAGAAAUUUGAGGUUCUCCUUUCUGUCAAUAGGCAUAGAACACAAAAUGACUUGGUUUGAACAAACCUAACAAUGUAAUUAUAUGUCUUCAUCUGAUUUGCAUUCGUCAACAUUCUUUGACACUGGUCAUUCCCUGACUAUUGCUUAGAAACACUUUUCUAGCAAAAGCACAAAAAUUUCUCAAUUGGAUUGCACUUCAAAUGUAACCUUAAAUUCUAAUAAAAUUCAUGAGAUUCAUCAAGUUCAUAAAUUAAACAGUGAAAAAAAGAUCUUGACAAUAUAACUCUUGCAGAACAGAUGCCCAAAUGAAGUCUUUAAAAAUGAUAUCACCACAUAAUUGUGUGGCUAAUCAAAAUCUCAGUGUAACCAUACCUGUAAAUUGUCGGUUUUAUCUGUUUCAGGGACAUGAGAAGAUAUAAGAGUUGAUUUUGCUUCAUAGUUAUUUCUUGUUUUUGCUUCAUAGUUACUUCUUGGUUUUGCUUCAUAGUUACUUCUUGGUUUUGCUUCAUGGUUACUUCUUGGUUUUGCUUCAUAGUUAAUACCCAUCCUCUUAGUUUCAGGGGUACGAGGAAUAACCAUUGCUCGUACUUCAUAGUUGUUAGUUUGUUCUCUUGCCUUUUCAGGUUCAGAGACAUGGGAAGGAAUAGCCACUGCCUGUACUUCAUAGUUACUAGUCCGUUCACAUCUCGUCUCUGUUUCAGAGACAUGAGAAGGCAUAGUCACUUCAUGUACUCUAAAGUCAUUAGUUUGUUCAUGUGUCUUCUCAGUUUCAAGGAUCUGAGGUGUAACCACUUGUACUUCUAAGCUAUUAGUUUGUUCUCUCGUUUUCUCUGGUUCAAGGACAUUAGAUGGUGAAAUUGUUGUCUGUACAUCAUUCGUUUUUUCUCUCCUUUCAAACCUCUCAACAAGAGUCCGUGUCCUUCCAGGAACAACUGCAACUGCAAAAAUAGGAUAUUAGACCAUAGAAUUCCCACACAUUUACUCAACAUUUCCUGUCAGUAGAAAGUAGCUAAAUGGACAAGGAGGACAAACCUCCAUUUACAAAUUUAACAGAGUUUGCCCCUUCGCUAUUCUCAACUGAUUUGUUGCCUGCAAAUUUGAGGAAAAUAAUAUUAACAUAAGCAAAACUAUUUAAUAAAAUAUGUAUAUAAUAAUAAUAGUGCACCCACAAAAGGUAAGAACAUCUUACAGGUUUCUUGUUCUGAAGUUGUCUCAGCUGAUACAGAGGGGAUUUUUUCGAACUUCUCAAUACUAAUGAGAUCAGAAUUUGUUCCACAAGGAUCUACAUGUAUUACUUCUGACACAACACUUGUUUUCAAGUUUUGUACUGGAGCUUUAUUCAAGUCAUUGGUGGUAUUACAGACAUUUACAGAAUCUACAACUGGUAGUCUCUCAAGAUCAGUUUUUCUACUUGAAUCAACUGACACAGAGAGUUUUUCAAGGUCUAUUUUACUAUUGGAUGGCUUUCUUAUAUGAGCCGGCCUGAGUAACAUUCCACGCCUUGUCUUCGAAAAUGUGAUAGAUUCCCUCACAGAGCUUGGUGGGUCUUUAACCUCAGGGCUAUCACAAGGUAUAACUGGGGGUUUAUCUUUUGAUAAUUCACUAGAUUUCACUUCUACUCGCGAUGCAAGAUUUUGCUUUUUGCUUGCAUUGUAGCUAAUCUCCUUCGAAUCCAAUGCAAAAACAAUUUUGGGGGAGCUUAAAGAUUCUGCCUUCUGUGGUGAAACAGGUUUUCCACCAGUUGCUUUACCCAAAAAAAAAGGAGAAAGAUAGAUUUAAACAAUGUCUGAAUGCAGGCAAGCAUGCAUAAAAUGAGCUAUAUGUGACAUAAAAUCAUUAAUUUAUGCUCGCUGAUAUUUUAAAUACCAAAAACCAAUCAUGACAUUAUAUAACUGAUCAAUCAGAGGGGAGCAUCAGUUGCAUAAAAUUUAAGAGCACAUAACUGAUCAAUCAGAAGGGUGUCAAUUCAUAGACUGUCAAGGAAAAUCUUACCAAGAGUCGCCUUUAUCACAAAUUUAGACAUAUGUAUUGAACAAAAUGAACCACUGAUCUCCUAUCUAAGGGUUGCAUAACAUCUCUAAGUAUUGUUCUUUAAAUACACUUUUCCUUUUCAUUUGUGUAAAACUGGGAAAUCCACAUCAAACACAUCGGGUAAUGCUUUAAGACAAUUUCUUAUGUUGGGCAGUUAUUCUAAAUAAAUAAAAAGGAGGGAGAGCAGAGAUGCGAUCCAACAACUGCUAAAGUGCGAAUAAUUAGUUUGGUACUAGUGAUAAUAUAUCUGCAUUGCAUGAAGAGGGAGCCAGCUUCAUCGCCUAAGGGAUAGAGACCUACUUGGUAGUGUUGUUAGGAAUCCAUUCGUAAGGGGAUAAAUGGAAUUGUUAUCCAGGUCUUUUUCCCUUAGAAAACUUAUUGUUUUCACGGUUCUCUCUAUUUUCUAGCAAAGAAACAUAUUGCAGACUCAUGGUUGCAGUUAGAAAUUUAUUGCAAAAAAUGUUUGCACGGCUAAUGCCUAAAAUAGGGUAGACUUGGGAACCAAUCAUAAAAAAAUUAACACAAGCUCUCUCUGCAGAGCAGAAAACGAGGACUUACUGUCUAUGUAUAUAUUCUUUAUCUCCUUUGUUUCAUAAUCAGGAGACAGAGAUUGCAGAUUUGAAGUCACCAAAUCACUUCCAGUGCUUUUCGAAGCUAGACUGUUCUUGAAGGCAGAACCGAGAUUCUGUUCUUUUGGCUCCUUUUGCCCAGAUACUGAACUAGCUCCAUAUGGCUCAAUAAGCUGAAAGUUGAAAUUGAAAACAAUUUUUAUUUCUUUUUAAUGUACUCGAAAGAUAAUGUGCAUAAUAGUAACAUGAAAGUACACAAUAUAUGUCUGUGUGUGUGAACAAUCUUUUGAAAAGAUACAAGUCAGCAUACCGCUACAUCAGCUACCCAAACUCCAACAGAAUUUCGAUAAGAUGAGCAACUCAAGAGUUUCCCAGCAUGAAUGCAAAGGUCACCAAGUGUUGACCAUCCCAUGUCAACAGAAUCAUGACAAAUAACAGGCUCCCACGAAUAUACCUACAAUAUCAAAGAAAAGAGAUAUGAAAUGAAUGUCUCAAUAAAUGAUUGUAGGUAAUAACCCAUUAUUCUGGAUCACAUAGUUAUGAGAUAGUAACACUGCUUACCUUCAGACUUUCAUCCAGACCAGAAAACAGGGUCCUCCCAUCUGGAUGGAAGGUGAUUGCACGUACUCCAGCAGCCUGUAUAAAAGAUAUGAUAAUGAAAUAAACACGAGAAAAUGAACAUCUAUUACAAUGGAAAGGCAACAUAUCUUUUCUAACAGAAUGGAUAUACCUCGGGUCUUGUAGAUCCAAUCAAUUCAAAGGUUUCCAAAUCCCAGAAUUUCACAGUUUUGUCUGCUGACCCUGAAAAUAUUUAUCAUAUAGUACACUUUUUACUCAGAGAGAGAGCGUGAGAGAGAAACAAUGAACGGGUAAUAUUAGAAUACAUAAAAUAAAUAUGGCAGUAUCCCAUUUUAUCAAUACAACAGUGCAACAAGAGGCAUUGAUGUUGGAGAUUUGCAUAUUUCCCUUUAUUUAAUGCUAUGGGGUGGGAAGAGAAGCUGGAGAGAUGCAAUUUAACUACUUUGACAGGCAGCAUGAUAAACUAAUUGCUCUCUUUGUAUCCAAUAAAAUUCCUACUUAAGCAUUCAAUUGUUUAGUCUUUCUUUUUCUUUCAAUCACCUGUCGCAAGGAGAAACUCAAGUGGAUGAAAAUCAAUGGAUCGAAUAGGUCCUUCAUGGAACUUGAAAUCAUGCAUCAACUUUCCAGCAGUUAAAUCCCAUACCUAUUCAAUAACAGAAACUUUAGAUACGAUUUUAUUAUAAUGAUGAUAUAAAGUUACACCAUCUAUAGAGUGACUCAUUAUUACCUUCACAGCACUAUCAAAACCACCAGAGACUACCCAACGACCAUCUGGUGUGAACUUGAUAGUACUAAUGCCUUGUGUGUGCCCCUUGUAUGUGUGAAUGCAACCUUUCUUUCUAAUAUCCCAGAUUUUAAGAUUUGUGUCUCUAGAACCUGAUGCAAAGAACUCGCCAAAUGGAUGAAAUUCAACUGCCGUGCAGUUUGAUCUAUGACCAGAUAGAGUGCGAACCACUACACUUCAAGAACAUAGCAAAAGAUCAGAGGUUAUUGACAAAUGAAAGCAAUUUUAUGCUUUCAUAUACAAUUGAAGGAAGAAAUCUGAAGGUAUUGUAAACGAACAAUCUAAAGCCAUCAUGAACUCUGUGUUUUCUAAGUUACGUGACUAUGUGCCGAAACCACAUCACUUCUUUAACAGUUUAUCAAAGUAAAGUAAGCAUAAUUCUAUAUCAUUGGUAAUUUUACUAUAAAUAUCAGAUAAGACGUAUACAUCAGUCAAGGUAAGAAAUUAGUUGAAUAAACUUACUUUUAGCCUCUUCAAGAUCCCACAACUUUAUUGCACCAGAUGAAGCUCCGGCGAGCACCAAAACUUCUGCUGAAUCAAAAGCUACUGAUUCAACUGGAUUAGUAUGACCACAAAGACUCUGCACAGGACCAAGAAAAACCCCAAAUUUAUUACUAAAGAAACCACAACCAUGGGCACAAGUGCCCAAAAAUGGUCCAGAAAAAAAAAAUCAGCCAGCAGAUCUCAAAGGUCCCCAUCAUUUUUCUCCAAUGACAUUCUGUAAAUGCACAAUUUAACCACUAAUGUACAAGAAAGUUUUCAAAAAAAGACAUAGUGAAGAAAAAAAGAAGUAUCUGAAGAUUGGCCAUUAGAAUGACACCCAUCAAAUAUACAACUCUUUUAUUCAACCAUCAAAUAAGUUCAUAAGUAAAUUUUAAAAAUAGGAAACUUAUGAAUUUAUGACAUAGAACCAUAAAAAUCUAACUAUCUGAUUGAGUACAAAAAUAUGGAAGAGGAGGCAUUCAACCAACCAUCAAAGAAUUAGGUUUUCCAAUUGCCCAAAGGUUGACUUUAUAAUCAUCUCCACCAGUUAUGAACAGUCGGCAAGCUUUCUUCCCAAUACUUAGACAGUUGACAUUUCCUGAGUGUGCCGCAAAUUCCUCUAGUUUCAAAUAGGUCAAGAAAAUACUUCAUAUAGUUGUAGUCUCUCUCAUGACAUUGCAUAUUGUACUCAGUAGGAGUUGAUUUGAACUCCUUAGGACUACAUUCUUAAAAUAUAAAUCACAUAUACAGCACAAGCGCCCAAUCAUCUCCCAGAAACUAAAGAACUAAAAAGGAAAAUUAAAAAUUAAAACAUCAUCCAGAAGCAAAAGGCAUUAAUUACCACUAAAAAUACCAAAUUAAUACAAAAAAGAAAAAAAAAAACAUAAUUUUUUGCGCACCCAAAUCAUGAAAAAAUCGUAAAUUACAAGUCUAGCCCUCCUCCCUCAUUCUCCUCCCUCCUCUGACACAUACCCAACAUCCAAAAUGAGCAUCCAAAUCCCUAAUGCUAUCAAUUCUGUCCCAAAGUCAGUUUAUCCUUAGAUUCAUAAGAAAUUUGAUCCCAAAAUUUCCGCGGAAAGGAAGGAAAAAGGGUAAAAAUGAUUGAAGAAUCACCAAACUAAAAGCUAAUUAUAGCCGAACCUCCAAGCAAAAGAAAAUAUAAAUAUAUCAUAGUAGUACAGAUUAGAAAGGAUACGUAGUUUAUAUCCACGCUUCGCCAUUGUCCACAAGAACUAAAAACCCAACUGGGAAGUAGAAAUAAGAUCGGAAAAACAAAAUCCGGAGGGUGAGGGACUGAAUUAGAAGCGAAAUUGAGUUGAAGAUUGAAGAAGCCACGUAGUCCCCAACUGAAACCACCGUGAAAGAUCAAACAUGAACUCCAAUUCAGCACAGAUUUGGUAUUACAAUGAAGGAAAAAAGAAAAGAAAAAGAAGUUUGUGAGCUGAAAUGGUAAAAUGAAGAUCAAAAGAAAAGAAAGAGAGAGAAUGGUUGAUUGCUUUUAGAGAUGGGAACCAUAUAAUUCAUCAAGACCGUGACUGAACCAUUUGCCGUAUUGUUUCUUAACUUUGACGAUAAUACCCUUCUUUUGUUCUCUAACGUAAACUAUCCUUUCCUUCUCAUUUUGGGUUUUCUGGUCAUAAAUUAUGCGGCGUGUCAACCAAAAAUCACGCCCCUAUAUUUUCUCGUGGCUCAUACAUUUUUUUUAUUUAAAAUAAUUUUAAAAAAAAACUAAUUGCCCAUUAUUUGCAUAUAAAAAUUAAAUAAAUAACAUUUCUGUGGUUUUAAAAAUAAAAAAUAAAAAUAAUAAGAAAGACUUAUGUCAAAAUCAUAAGGUUGGCUAUUCAUUUCAGUUUGAAACAGCCAAAGAGAUUCCUUCUAAUAUAUUUAUAUUUUCAGGUAUUAUUCUUCUAUUUUCAGUUUGAUUUUGAUGUAUAAUUGAAUCCAUGGCAUAGUUUAAUUAAAAUCAUAAAAUAGAACACAAAUAUAGAUGCCUUUCUAUAAAUUCAAUGAGUUUUAAUAAUUUGUAAAUAUAUGUAUAUAAAUAAUGGUGGAGGUUAUAGUUGAGACAUUGAAAUCAAUCAACCAAUCAAUCUAAUUACUAAUAUAAGUUGUAUCUUAAGAGGCUAAUUAAAUUGCUUAAUUAUGUGUGUGAACAAUAUAUGUGUGUGCUGCAUGUUUAGGUUUCAACGCGGAGAAAUAAGGUAAGGUAGUGGACAUUUUCCUUCAGUUUUUAAAAAAUAAAUCUUGAUAUCUUAAAUCUCAAUAUUGGUUUUUAAAAACAAAGUGUUACCAACCAAGUUUUUUUUUUUUUUUUUUAACAAAUAGAAACAAAUAAUUGUUUUAAGAAUAAAGGAGACAAGGAUGCAACAACUCACAAUGUUGCAAUUGAAAUUCUAGUACAAGUAAAAUUAAAGAUAUUACUAGGGAAAAAAAAUGAAAGUAAUUGUGUAGAGUAAGAUAAUGUUUUAAAAGUUUAAGAUUGAAUUAUGGUAAAUUGAAUGUUUGAGUUUGUUGUGCUCUAAUAAAAUUGAAAAUUCAUGCUACCUAGUGUUUAUUUAUUUAGAUUAAAGUAGUUUAUAAUGGAAUAUAACGAUUUAAGAGGUAUAAAAUUCAUAGUAAAUAAAUACUUAGAUAUGUGUGUAUUUUGAUUGAAUUUAAAAUUGCUGAACCCUACUAAUAGAGGAACGUACAAACAUUUUGCAGUUGUGUUUACUGUUUAGUGUUUUGUUCUAGAAGAUAGUAUUUAUUAAGAAUGAUAUUACAAGGAAAUAAAAUAAAGGUUCUACACAUUUUUAAUAAAUGCAAAGUAUUUCUACUUUCGAUAGAGAUGUUUGGAUUUUACUUUUCAAACCAUCCAGAACAUUCUAUAUAAAUAAUUAUUCCAUCUUUGACCUCUCCUCUGAAUUCUAUUGUACUGUCUCCUUCGAGUAAGUUUGCCUCCUCCUCUACUUUGAGAACCAUGUUGAAUGGAGAGUGAGCAGAAGGGGAAAGAUAUCGUGAUCAUACGAAGUCGCACACUUACUUGAGUUGUGCGGGAGAUUAGAGAAUGGGUCGAGUACCUCAAGGUCGAUCUUUUUUUCUUUCUAAUCAAUGUAAGAUUCUAAUUGCACUCCUCGUAACAUUCAUUUUGAAUCGUAGUGGUAUAACUAAUUGUUUUAAAAUCUAAAAUAUAUGACGUUCGUUUGUUUGCUGACAUUGUGCCUUUAGUUCAACCCAAAAAGAUCUUUGGACUUCUUGUAUAAUCAAAACUAGUCACAAUGAGGGUGUUUGGGAUAAGAAAUGAAAUAGUUAGGAGUAGAGAGUUAUGUUACGGAGUCUAAAGAGUUGUGAACUCUUGAGCCUACGGUAUUAGAGUUGUUGAUAAGAUAUAAAUCAAUUGAUGUCUUUUAGUAGUGAAAUUUACCAACUUCUUGAGCUAAACAAGGAGUGGAAUUCACAACUCCUACCUUUGAACUAUUUUGGCCCCACACGUCCAAUGUGUUUUGAAAUUGAAUUGAGAAUAAUCUAAGAUUUGGUAAAGUGAUCAUUAUUUAUACUUUCAAACACCAGAAACAUUACAUAUAGGUUCCUUGGUAGUGUAAAUGAUCAUCAUAAGUUUCUUGAUUGUAUUGUUCACAAAUCAAGUUUCUUCUUGCCUAAGAAUGCAAUAUUAACAUUGAUUUGCUCCAUGAAAUAUAGUUGCUUGUUCUAGCUAAAUGAUAUGUAAAUAAAAGUAUGUAGCAUUGUUGAAUGAGAUGAAGGGUAGAUUUAGUUAAAGGUUGUGGAUGGAUUCUAGAACCAAGGGUAAAAUCGUUAGCACACAACAAACGAAGAAAAAAAGAAUAAGGCCAAAAGAAAAAUGGUUUGGUAGGUCUCGAGCCGAGGACAAUACCAUAAAAAACAAUCCAAAGCGAACAGACUCAGCAUAGACUUAUCCAAAAAGGGCUGAAACCCUAAACGUGGAAGGUGAGGGUGUUGAACUCGUCGACCUUAGCCCAAGAAAAAUUUCUAGAGGGACGGCCUAGUCACAUACCUUGAUUGGAUAUGGAAGAAGAAGAUGGUCAAAACCUAUGAAUAAAGAUCAUCAAAUACUCUCUUUCCCUUUCAAUCUUUAUGACUUAAGCAUUAGAAUAUCCAUAACUUACACUACACUAAUGACCAAGUUUCUCUUUGCUUGCAAGUGAGUAUCAUCUUUCUCUAAAAUAUACAAAUUUACCGUUGUCCUAUAAAAAUUAUAUGUAUUUUACUUGCCAAAAUUUGAUACAUCAACCGUUGUGUUUUGGUAGGAAUAAUAAUAAUCUUAGUUUCAAAACUCGUUGGAGAAGCGUAAGAAACACAACAAGUAAUUAAUUUAAUGAAGGCAUGUGUGUUCUUUUAUGAAUAAAAGAGUGUAGUAUAUUAUAGACUACAACUCUCAUUAAAAGUUGUAUCAUAUCUUCAUGUAUAUAAAUACAGGAAAUAAUUUGGAAAUAACAUAAUACAAGUGAAGUGAAGUGAAGUGGUUGUAGUUGCCUAACUAACCAUUUGCCCUUUAACCAUUAUUGUAUAAUAGCUUUAAUAUAUAAUUACUCUCUUUAAUUUCAGAAACAAAAACCAUGCAUGUGAAUGUUGUUAAUAUAUGUAUUUAUUUUAUACAACAUCUAACCUAACUCUUCCAAAUUGAAUUAAUUAUCUAAUCAAACAAAGUAAAUCAAUGUAUGUGUGUAUAUAUGUAAUUUAAAAUAACACAAGCAUUCAAGUAUCUUUUAAUUUAAAGUUUAAAUAUGUUUAAGAAUUAAGGAUGCAUGAGAAUAAGAUUGUUGGAAUUCAAGCAUGGUUGUGUUUGGCUAUGCAUGAAAAUAGCUUAUUAUCAUGGAUAAAACUUCUAAACUUAAAUCAAACAAAAAAUAUGUAUUCCAUGAGAAUAAAAGUGGAAAUAAUGGUUAUGGGUUUCACAUUCUCUUAUUUGGUAUAAGUUUUGAAGCUUUAGGUGUGAGAAUAAGUUAUAGUAAGCAUCAUUAAUUCCUAUACAUUUUUAAAAUCUCAAGAGGAUUGAAAUAUUAGGUAGGGUUUUGGGUUUUGGAAGUGAAUUGUGCAAGGCAUUAACGCUGGGCCUGGUGGGUUGGGCCAACGUGUCCUCAUAUGACUCAACUUGAUGGAUAGUUUUAGAUGACAGAUUCAUGAAACAAUAUUUGAAGAACAAAUUUUAAGGCCAAAUAAGUGAUUUAUGGAAUGAUUAAUGUUAUGAUAAUCUAGUAUUACAAUAGUCAUAAUGUUAUGAUAAUAUGUAUUUGUAGAAAAGGUUAUGAUGGAUAAUGUUAUGAUAAGAUGUAUUUGGAAAAGAAUUAUGAUAGUAUGUAUUUGGGAAAUGAUUGACACACGAGUGGAAUAGAGUGAAGAAUUAUGAAAAACCUUCCCGAAUGGUGGAACCCCACUCUUUUAUAGUCCUAGGGUCAAAUGCUUCCACGUGGAGUAAGUUGUUUGAUUGGAAAAAUUUACAACAUACAAAAUUAAAUUUAGAAAAUUACUAACGAUAAAUUUUUUUCAUAAGUUUUAUUCCUAACAUUUAUUAAUUAGUAAUGAUCAAAUGACAGGAAUAUCCUAUAAACACAAAAAAACUGAUUAAUCAUUCAAAAAGAUAAAUCAUGUCACAUGUGUUUUAAUAAUGAGAAAGAAAAUAGGAAGAAUAAGGUAAAUUUGAUUAGAUGGAAACCAUAGGACAAAUAAUGAUUUAGGCAAUACCCAAUAGGUGCAUUAAAUAAAUAAAGAGGAAAGCUGUUUUACAUUCACCAAAACAAACCUAAUUGAGUUCCAUCCAAUUAAUCUUGAAGAAGCACUUCCCAUAAAAAAAAAAAAAAAAAAUCCAACUUGAUGACCAAAAUGUUUUGAAUAAUAUAAAAUAGUCCAAGUUAAUGAAUAGAAAGAGAAGAAUUUUACGAGAUAAAAUAAUUUCGUAAUACAAAAGAACAUCACUAGAGUUUGAAAGUCUAUAUAUUGCACGUGUCUAAACUCUAAAGUCAUGAUCAUAUGAUGUAUAUGAGUUCUAUCAUACAACAAAUUCAAGAUAUUCUAACAAUUAACUUAAAAUUUUAGAUAAAUUGGUGAAUUAAUUAAGACGAUAUCAGGGUGAGGUGGUCUAGUGGGUUUUGUGUUUAAGUUUCUACAAGGUUGUUUUCUCCCUAUUUAAAAUUUAUAUAAAAUUUAUACCAACUAAUUGUUAGAUUUUGUUCGUAUAUCAUUCAUUAGGUUAGUGUACAUUCCUUCUCGCUUUUAAACAAUAUCAAGUACCAAAUUUAUUAUUAACAACUGUAAUGUAUUAAAGUUUCCAAAUCUAUUUUAAAGCACCUUUUUCUUCCAUCUUAUUUACCUAUACAGAUUUACCAAGUAAAAACAAAAAAACUUAAUGUUUAUAAUCUAAUAUCAUCAUCUCUUAUAGAACCUAGAAGAAAAAUUGAGCUUGAAUCAAUAAUUAAAAAAAAAAAACAACUUUAGUUAAGGUAGUCCAAUUGAAUAUGAACUAUCACUAUCAAAAUCACUUUAUUUUGAUACAAUAUUAUUAUUGUAUAUCCCAAAGUAUAUAAUUGAAUGUACAAUCAUUAGUAUUAUUAGUUAGACUCAUAUCUAAAACCUAAGUCCAAACUUGGCAUUUUAUUCACUAAUGAUUGUUUAAAUAAAUACUUAAUAAAAAAUAAUACCUUUUUAGAUCUGUUUCUAUUUAGACUUUACCUUUGAAAUUGUUACAAUUUUAUUAUCAACUGUUUUUAAAAGUUAAUAUUUUACCUCAAUUUUCCAAUAAAUACUCACUUAUAAAUCUUAUAUCUAUUAGUUAAUUUAAAGUAAUUAUAUGAAUUAAAGUUUUAAAUUUAAUUUUAAAGGGACGAAAAAUAAUAAAAUUUAAUUAAUUAUAAUCCGUUUAAUUACUUUAAAGAGAUGCAUUAAUAUAAGACAAAACUAAGUAUUAUAUCUAAUGAAAAUUUGAAAUUAAAAAUGUAAAUAUUAGAAUUUAGGAACUAAAUUGAAUCAAAAUUUAAAUAGUUGAAAUUCCAACAUUUUGAAAUAUUAGAACUAAAUCGAAAAUAAAUCGGAUAAAACCAAAUGAGAUGAAAGAGUAUCUGUUUCCAUUACUUAACAUGUUAGCAGUAAGUGCAAACAACAAAUAUUGGCUUAAAUCUGUACAAACAAACAGGCCUAGCAAGUAAUAAAAUUGCAAUCAAUCUUAAGCACUUUUAUAUGCUAAAGAAAAAAGAGAGAAAAAAAACAUAUGUCCUCUUGGAAAAAAAAUAAUGAAAGAAAUGGUGUCGGGAAGGCAGCCAACAUCUCAUCCCAUGGGGUGUCAUGGCCUCUCACAAAUCCAAGAAUUUCUGUCCCAAAGCACUUUGGCUUCCUUCACUUUCACACCUUUUUUUUCUUCCCUUUUAUUCCCUUUCAUUAUUAUUAUUUUUGUCUCCUUAACUUCUACUUUAAUAAAUAUUUAUAUAUUCAUGUGAUCAAAUCUCUUUUUCAUGAGAAAAAAUUAUAUGAACAAUGUACUGAUAUCACCUUUUGAGCUGUUACAUUAUAUGUACUUCUUUUGUCAAUAAAAAUACCACAGUCUUGGCCUCUGCGCUAACAUUAAUGUAUAACAAAGUUAGAUUAUCUAAAUUGAAAGUUAAACUGGGAAGAUGAGUAUAGAUUACUUGGUUAAAAAUUCGGAUUGAGCCAAUGCUAGAUCAUCCCACUGUUUGGUUUAGUACUCCUAACUAAAGCAUAAAAAGCUUAUUCAAAAGUACUCCAACUUUGUCGAGAGAUGGACUUAACUUUUUCACCAAUAAAGAAAAAGAAAAUCAAUGGGAUGACCUUCCAGACUAAGCAUGGCCCAAUCCAAAGUCCAUGUGCAUAAACAGGGACUUCAAAUGGCUCUUCAAAAUUGGGAAGUACUAAAACCAACUACCAUAUCAAAUAUUAUUAUAAUUGUUAGGAUAGUUAUCCAUAAUGAUCUUGCAUUUGUCAAUAUGUGGUUAUUAGUGUUCUUUCACAUCUCUCUAACACAUCAAGAGUCACUCAAUCUUUAAUAUCGUUUUAGAACAAAUCGGAGUUAUAGAAUUUGUUUGACAGUCAAGUAUCUUUGAACUAUAGCCGACCCACAGUUGCUAAACAAUUCCAGCAUGAAAUAGAGAGAAUUUCUUAUUAUAACAUGACUUCAAACUCCUAUUUCUACCGUGAAUUCUUCUAUCUUUAUAUGUGGUUUUUAUCCUAAUUUUUUUAAGGAGUUUUUCAUUAUUCUUACAUUUCCUCCCUUCCAUUAGGAUUAUUUUCAAUUUAAUUUAGUUACAGUUUUACUCUAAUCGAUGAGAAUGCUUAAUCAAAAUAAAUAAUAAUUUAUAGGAUUAUAUUCCAUGAACAUGGAUUAAAGCACACUGCCCCCACACAGAGAGGAAAUUAAGCAAAUUGUGUAAGAACUAAUUAAUUAAUACAAAUGCUCAAUAGAAAAUAACCAAAAUCAAUUAUACAUGAGAGAAGCAACUACUAGCUUAACUAAAAAAAACAGAGAGUAUCUAAUGAGCCCUCUUAACACAUGUUACAAUGAAAAUUGGCACUGCUGACAAAAUUGAAUAAAAUAAUUGAACAUUAAAAGCUUUUAGUUUUUUUUUUUUUUUUUAAAUUUUAUUUUUCAUGGAAUAAUGUUUUGACCUUGUUGGGAGAAUAAUGUUAAUUAGAAAGAAAACAGGAUGAAUGCAUAAUGAGGCACAUGGAGAUGACCCAAAGUGCCUCUUCCUAUGCACAAUUUGUAGGCCACUACUAAGGACUAGCUAAAGAGCAUCUUUUUGUAGCCUUCUUUCCUAAAUUAUGUAUGCAUUAAAUGUCUUAUUAUUAUCCUGCAUAUUUCUCUUCCUAAUUAAUUGACUUUGUUUAUUCAUGUGUUAGAAAUUGAAGUUUGAAAAAGUAAAACAAAUAAACUAUAUUGCUCAGCUAUUUUUAUUUCUCUCUUGAUUAUGUACAUUAGAAGUAGAACACAAAUACUCAAGUUUCUCUCUCAAACCCUCACAUUCGUGACAAACAAUCAAACACGAGUAAGAAAAAAAGAUAGGAGUUAGAAGGUCAAAGAAAGUAGCAAAUACAAUCUAAAUGGUAUGCGAAAUAGGUGAAAGGUUAUUAUUCAUUUUCAAAAUUCAUGUAGUAUUUGCAAACUUGGACUUCCCUUUUGUUCGUGAUUCAAUUUUUCUUUUAGGUUAAAAGAACAAAAAAAUACAGCAUUAUUGUAUUUUCUCAAGUUCACGUCUGAAAAAAAAAAGUAGUUUUUAAAUUUUGAAUUUAAGGUUUUUUUUAUAAAGUUAAUAGAGGAUAUGCAUUGUAAUGAAAAGCAAUUUUAUGAAUGUAAGACUUAAAAAGGAUCCCUCUCUUUCUCUCUCUCUCCCUACAGCUCUCCCCUUUUUCUGUGAACUGUGAACUGUGAACUGUGAACUGUGAACGUGAUUACCAGAAUCACAGCAGAGCCGCACUAAAUGCAAGUUCACUCUCUUCCAACCAAUCUCUCUCCCUUUCUCCUUUUUUCUCUUCUUUACUUCUUCUCUUCUCUUACCUUUCUCUUUCUUCUUAUCUCCCCACUUUCCUUCUCUCUUCUUCCUCUAAACCCCUGGCAAUGUUUCUGAGCCUUCUCUGACCUUCAAUCCCUUCAUCUCCUUCCAAAUGGGUUGUUUUGUCAGUACUUCUAAGCAUUCUUCUUCUUCUUCUUCUUCUUCUUCACCUCCCCACCAUUCUAGAUCUGCCUAUUCCCAUCCCAAACUCAAUCGCAUUGCAAACAGAGCACCCCCUCCACUUGACGAAGAGUCUGUCAAAGAGGUUCUCUCUGAAACUCCCAAACCAAAAACCCUUUUGUCCAACCACGACGAAUCUGCCUCCCGGAAGGUCAAUGGGAGAAUCCCCAUUCAUCCCACUGAAGAAAUUUCUGAGGUUUCUGACGUUUGCAGCUUUAGUGAAACCCUAUCUACUACGACUGUAACAGAGAAGCUGGAUGAUUUCGAAGAAAUACGUCAGAGGAUUUGUAGAUCUCCAGCUAAAUUGCCCAGAAGCCGGUCUCCCUCCAACGAUUGGGCUCCCAAGAGGGAUAGAAUGGUUGGUAAAUCGCCAACGCGAAAAUUUGAUCAGUCGCCUGGCCGGAUUAACGGCGGUGGCGGAACUGUGAAGUUAGUGCAAAGCAGAGAUAUGGGGCAGGGACUCACAAGGCGAAGUCCGAGGUCGGAGCCACGCCUUCAGAAUAGAACUGAGAAUGCAUAUCGUAGGUCAAGAUCCCCGGCCUAUAAUCGAACCGACGGCGGAGGCUCCAGACCAGCCGCCGGCCGAAGCCCAUCUGUCCGGAGGUCCGGAAUGUCUCCGGGAAGGGAACCAACACCGGGAAGAGAGUAUUACCGAAGGGAACCAGGGCAGUCUCAGGAAACACAGAACUCAACAAUAGAGGGAAAAUGGCGGACUACAAAUGAGUCUCUCGAUAACCCACUUGUGUCAUUGGAAUGCUUCAUCUUCCUCUGAAAGAAAGUGGAAUAUUCCGGGCGCACAUUGCGGCCCAGUUCACUGAACUGAUGAGUGGCAUUCAAAUUUCUUGUACUCUGUUUUUAUGUCUCUUCCAUCUACGGUGUGAUUCCUAUUUUUGGUCUGGAAAUUGUAGUAAGUUGUAAAUAAUGAAUGUCCGAAAGGUCAAUUUAGGAAACAGACCGUAUAACACAGUUGGGUUUGGGUAGGCAAAGAAGUCUCUGUUUUCUCUGAAAGUAAAUCUUUUGCCAUUGCUGGCACAAAGAUUGCAUUUUUCUUUACUCUCUCUCUUAUUUAAUAUCGUAUUCCCGAGGUAUUCACUAAUCUUCGAAAAUGGAAAUUAAUUAUAUUGUUAGUACUAAUCUUACUUGAAAGAAUUAGGGGCGUCGUCGAAAUUAAGUGACCUCUGUUUUUUAUGGUACAAACAGUCAGGAUCUUCAGAGUUCAGAUCCACUCAUACGUCUGUUUAGACAAAGAGGAAGGAAGAAAGAAAGAAAGGAAAAGAAACGUAAUUAUGAGUCAGCCCCGCAGAAGAGUCCUGAAAUGAAGACUGAUCUAAAAUUCAGAACAGAGGAAGAGUGGAGAUGAAGAAUCAAUCACCAUCACCAACCAACUUUCUUUCUUCAGCAUUGGUAAUAACAACUCUCUUACAAUUGCGUCCAACUUUUGCUUUCUGUGUAUUAACCGACAAAAGUAAAACAGAGCAAGCCCAAAGCUUGAGAAUACAGAGAUGCUCCAUGACAAGAAAUGAAGACUUUUGUAGCAGAAAGUUGAACUAAAAUGAGAAGUUAAACUGUUGGGGGCAAUCUAUGUUUCUCCAUUUUCAUGUAAUAUUGAAUUGUAUAUUAUAUUAGUGAUAUGUGCUGUCCUUUUCUUGCUGAAGGCGUAUCAAUUAUUGUGGAGUGUUUUGAACUUUUGACCCUUUUUAGCAGAGACAGAAUUUCCUUCAGAGUGUGGACUCCGUGGGAUUAUGAACUUUGCCAUUUCACAAAACUUUUGGGCACUUAUUGUAACUUUUCCUAAAACAAACAAACACACUGAUAAUAUCAACAGCAAUGUCAUUUUGAUAUUCUCAGUGUGCACUGCAAGAACAAAGCUUCUGACUGAUUUUAGUACAAAAAUUGUAAAUAGAAGAACGAGUACGCAUUUCAUAUACGACAGUUGAAGUUUGCCUACAUCGGAGUACCAUUUAACAUUGCACAGUUCCUCACAAACAAAGAUUUCUAUAUAUGAUUGCUGAGGCUUAAAGCCAGAUUUGAAGAGACAAAAAAGAGAAAAUCUUAACCUUGUGCAAGGCAGUAAACUGUAAAACUUGCUAUCUUGAAGAAGGGAAUGUAGUCAGAUGAGGUAAAGCAAGGAGGGCUGUGAGGUGAACGUAUGUACAGAAUAAGAACCUCUGGAAAUGGUGGAAAAAACAGCCUCAAUUAAGGUACCUUUCUGACUAUUGGGUUUUGAAGAUUAGUUUUGCUUGAAUAAACCGUAGCUAGUAGAUUUGUUACAGAACAGACCUCUUUUCCUUCUUCGGUUUCUUUGUUUUCAUGAGGAACUUGAGUUUUCAAUGAAAUGGGAACUGUUGGUGACAUAAGAUAUGUCAUUGUGUUGAUGUUGUGGCCAUGGAAUGCGUUCUGGGGCACACGGGACAGGAGCUGGGUGUGCGAUAUAUGUAGGAAUAUGAUCUCCAGGCAUUAGAACUGAAACUCCACAGGAAUACACAGUCAUCUGCAUAAAAACAAAACAAAAAUGUUGGAUGGCUGAAGAUUGUAGAAAGAACAAAAUUUAUAUAUAUCAAUAGGAUUUAACCAGUGAUCAACUCUGCUAGCAGAUGAUACAAAAAGCUAAAGACUGAACAAGUUCAAGAGGAAAGAACAAGCUUCAACAUAUCAUAAGCCAACCAGUAGCAUAAAGAAACAGCACAAUAUAUCUGACAAACAUUACAAUAAAAUGAAAAAAGCUUAGAAACAUAAAAUCAGAUCCUCUAAUUGUUUCUGAAAUAAUCAACAAACACUUCUUUCAAACUGGGACACAUAAUACUUGUACUACAGGAGCAUGUUCUGCUAGGUCGUGACAUACAACAAACAUAAAAGUGUUCAAAAUGACAAAAUCAACAUCCUUCCAUUGCAAAACUUUCACAGGACAAGAAGAGAAAACGUGGUGUUAAUUAUAGGAUUAAGGGUCAGUGCAAUAAAUUUCAUGAGCUAUUGCUGCUUUUCCUCUCCAAAACAAAUGGAAAACUCCUCACAUUGUCAACGGGCAGGCAAUGAGUUUGUCACUUAGAAUCAGCCUUUGAGAAACCAGCAUGUCUUGAGAUCUUACAACAUCAUAGUGAGUGCAUCAUAGAAAUAACACUACCGCUUAACACUUGAAACAUGAAAUCUAUGGUGAAUAUUUUUUAUUUUCUUUUCUUACAUCAAUAGUGUUUAGUGUUUUUGUUGCUAAGAGAGAGUAUCCCAAUAGAAAAAUAAGAAAAAGAAAAACAAUGCACAAAUUUGUAUUGAGAUAUAACAAUCCUGGAGGUACUAAUCAACACAGAAGAUUAUACGGUUGUGUUGGAUAUUUAAUUUUAAUACUUCAACGUUGCCAAAAAAAAAAAAAAAAAGUUUAGCAGGAUGUUUCCAUUUCAUUACAAGGACUGGCAGAUUAAGACUAUCCAUAGAUUUUUGGUAUGUGAGAAUACUAGUUAGGGGCAUAUGAAUAAAAUUAGUAUGAUAUUAGUUACAGGUGUUGUGGGUAAUUAAUUAGUGGUGUCUUGAUUAUAAAUAAGAGAAGUUGAGCACCUUAGGAGAGUGAGGAUCAUUUUGGUGGGAAUUUCUCUUGUGAGAAUUAGGGAGAGAGAUAGCACUCUCGAACGACUAUAAUAUAGUAAUUUCUUCAUGUGUUUGCAAUAUAGUUAUAUUUAAUGUUUAAUGUUUUGUCUUUUCGGCAUUUGAAUGCCCAUCAAAGUAAAUGGAAAACUUUGUUAUACCAAGAGAUCUCAAGUUGCACCUACAAGGAUGCAAUCUACCAUCAAGUCCAUAUAUUGGUCAUUUUUUGGUGCAGCUAUACAAUUAUAGGCUGGCCCAUAAAGUUGAGAGGACCAAAAUUUUUGGCUUUUGAUAGGAACUACAAACUGGAAAUUAAACGAACUGUAUAGGAAACUGAAAAGAUACCAAGCACUUCAAGAGGCCUGGAUUCUCCCAAAAUCAAAAUUGGGAUCCAAAUACUGGCUCCCUCCUAAAUUCCCAAGCUCACUUUAUUUAUAGCCACUCAAUUCUUACAACUUGUAUGUAAUUACACACACGUCCUUGCUAAUAUCCUUAACAUAUACACUAGUAUUCCCAACAGCUUUAGCACAUACAAAUAUCAGCCAAUUAGACAGGACAACUGGCCAUGCCAGGUGCAGCCGAAGAUUAAAUAUGUCUCACAUGAUAAUAAUUAUGAAAUAUAUCUUAUCAACAAAGUUUGACCAUAAAUUCUUGACUGACUCGGUUUCAGCGAGCAGUUCUCCACUAAUAAUUUUGAUAUUUUUAAGAUGCAAGUUUUUCUUUUUUCUUUUUGAAAAAAAAAAUCAUCUUAAUGUCUAUUCUUUGUUUAUUCAAUUUGAAUGUAUGAGAAUACCAAUGACACAAGAAGGGAAAGUGACUACAUGGCCAUGACAGAAGUAAGGAGCAUGUGGGAUUAAGGCACUGAAAUUGACUUGAUGAGUAAAUUGGUGGGGCAAAAAACAUCAGAAGCACUUGACCGAAAGUGGCAAAACAAGAAGUGACCAUUAAACGAAAUACUACCAGAUCCAUGCCUAGUAUCCAUAAUUAGAGGAUAAAACCAUCCUGUGAUAAUGAGAUUGCUUAUUUUUGAAAUGGAAGAGAAUUCUAAAGAGUAAAUAACAAAUUAUAUGCCCGCUAGCCUGUUCCCUCACCCCCUUAUGAAGUUGAAGAUAGAUAAGGAUGAUAAAACUCAGUGCUCAUGAGCAAUACUGCAGAAUUCAGAAAGGAGACGAGAACUACCAGCUAAUCUUGAAGUUCCAAAACCAAUCGAAACAUAUGAAACUAAAAGGAUAAAACUACACGCUAUCCUUUAGAUUGCAAUUAGAACAAAAGUAAAAGAUAGAAACAUAACAUGUUGUUCGAAUACCAAGUCUCAGAACAUGGGUCAAACCGAAAAUAGUUGUAUUAACAUACUAGUGCGUUAGUAAUCACAAGAGACGAGGUCCGAAUACCCUGUCCCACAGAUACUAAAAAAAUCCUAGAACAUGGGUUGUUCCACUUAAACUAUUACAGGACUAGAAAUUUUCAUUUUCAAUUCAACACUUCGCGAACUUUGAUAAAAAAACAGAGAGAUGAAUGUCGAAGAAAGAACCUCCGUUUUAAACUAUGCGGAGCAGAGACGCAAAUGAACAAAUUCCAAAUAUUUAAACAGAUAGUUUAAAACAGAAAUUCAGCACAAUGAGCAAGAAGCAACACAAAAUAAGAUGAGACAAGAACAGAUAUCUAAACCCAAUUCAUUUCAGUUUUCCUCUCGAUAGUCCAACAGUCCAGAUAAGAAAACUCGGUUUAAAGCAGCAAAAACCAAAAAAUCAGAGAGGAAACAGAAACUGGUGAGAAACAAAUUGGGAGAACUCACUUUGGGUGAUGGGUGAGCAAGCUUUCCAGCAAACCCCAUCUGAGCCUCAGGGUCAAGGUGGGUCCGACCGCCGGCGUGAGAGAAAGCAGUGGGAGUAGGUCGCAAAAACCUUUCAAAGAUGGCCAUGAGCAAGAACAUUGAGACGAGAAUGGCAGUAGCAACAAACCCAAAAGAGACUGCAUCAACAGAGUUGUCGAAAUGCCUCCAGUGGUCCUCUUUCUGGACAUCUAGAGGAGCCCCAAUUGGGGACCAUCCAUAGCCUUCUUCACCCAUAUUAGCCGUACAGUUUCAGAGGAAAUUUCCCAUUUGGGUAUAGCUGGUUUUGUUACUCAUGGCAGCUUAAUUAGGAAGAAGAAGAAGUAGAGGGGAGAGUUUUCAGAAGAUGUUAGUUAAAGAUUUUCGCUGCUAUCGAAAACUUGAGCAGGUACCGAACUUGUAAUAUAGGCCCCAAACAGUGAGAGAGAGAAAGAGAGAGAGAGAGGAGAGAGAUUGAAGCUGUGGGCUACCAUUAACAUCCACAACAAAAUUCCAGAGAGUUUACUGGAGGGUGAAAAGGGGGCUUUGGAAUUUGGAUUGCUUUUCUUUGGGAAUUUGGAAUUGCAUUGUCGCUAUUGGAAAAAUGGUUGUUCUCUUUUAGUUUUUGCCCUGAAAAUUUUGUAAGUUUCAGAUUCCAUUUGACUUUUCCACCAUUUUUUAUUUUACAGUUUCACCAUUUGCAAAACCAAAGCUACAGUUGCAGUGUAGAGAGUAUCUACCUCCUCUUUGCCCAUACGGAGAAGAUGACUGAAGGAUAACAAUGCAAAAAAAGAGAAAAAAUAAGGUUACUUUCCAAAAACCCCAACAUUUGGGUUUUAAUCAUAUCAUAUUUGUCGGUCUCCCUUCUUUUGUAAAAUGGUUAACUUAUUAAACUACAAUUUUACUUCUUCAAAUUUCUAAAUCUACUACAAUAGUUUAGAAACUAAAUUGGAAAAUUAUAAAAAAUAGAACAACAAAAUAUUUACAUUUCAUUUGAUUACUUUUUAUUGUUUUUCUUAAUUUUUCAUUACGAUUUAACAUUUUAGAGAAAAUCAAAUCUCUAAGUUCAAUUUAAUUCAGUGAUAUUUUCAAAUCUUUUUUAAUUCGUUUUAAAAGGUAAUGGGUAUUAUUGAAAUGAAGCCGACUCUUUAUACACAUAUAUGUAAAAUAACAAUUUUUUAAGAUCAAUUAUUGAGAAGAAAAGAAAUGUGAAUAAAUGAUUAAAUGAAUGGUUCCUCCAAAGGACAACACAUUGGCUGUAAAAUGGGCCAACAUUUUGCCUUUUCCGGUCUCAUUGUUGCAUUAGCACCCACAGGGCCCAGCCCAACAACUCACCCCCACCCCCACCCCCCAGCCCUUCCUCCCAUUUUUACCCCUUCAUUUCUUUUCUAACAAAAACCAGAUCCGACCCACCUUGUUUUAUGACCCAAUCCAAUCCAAUCAAAACCGGACCCACAAACCCACAUGCCCCGAGCCGAAAGUCUCCCCCCUAUUUUCUUAACUCAUCCAAUCACAAUCCCCCACGUGGAUAAUCAUUUAAAUAAAAAAAUGAAAAUGAAAACAGUAGGGCCGCAAAAAAGACUUCACUGCCGGAGAUGUCAACUUCUGGUGCCCACUUUUCCGACCGAAGCUCAACAUGUGGAGCAUCCCAUUCCCUUCCCUUGAGAUUAUUGUUGAGUGAAAAAAAGAAAAAGAAAAGGAAAAAGAAAACGAAGAAGAAACCAAUGCUUCAGAUAUCUCACCCUGUGGUCAGGAAUGCAUCUUCACCAUUGAGAACAGUCAAAACACAAAAGCCACAAAGGUCAAACUUCCAUCAUGGGUUAAACCAUCCCGCGUGCGUGUGGAGUGUAAGCAUCGCACGUGUGAUUGCGUGUUGGAGUAGCUUCUAAUUUUCAUUUUCCUCCUUGGUCCCUCCUUGUCCUUUAAGGGCCAUGCACAUUUAUAAGGCCUCACAAAACUUGAGUGAGACAAUAAUGUAAUUUCAAGUUUAAAAAUACAAUACCUUUACUCAAUAAUAAUUGGAUAAUAUUACAUCCAAAAGAAAAAAAAAAGGUUUGUAUUAAAAUUUAUAACAUCUCAUCAUUACUAAAGCCAAACACACUCUUUUUAUCUUCUUAUCUUUUCCUUUCCCUUUUUAAUGCGAAACACAAAAUAGACAAGACUUUUAAUCAUAGAUAAAGUAAUACAUAUAUCUAAGUUUGCUCCCUUUUUCCUUUCAGUACCCAAAGGACGAGUUCCCACUUCUUUUGAGUAAUUAAUAUUAAAUUUAAUGUGUUAUCGUACAAUAUGAAAUUACUGUUGGAGGUCUGAUAGAGAUAGUGAAUAAAGGGAGAGAUGGAAAAUGAGGUGAAUAAUAAUGAUUGGAGGGUGUUUGGUUGAUGGGUGAACUUUUUUUCUUCUUCUUUUUGCAUUAAUAUAUUGUAUGGAUGCAGGGGGAGUGAGGGACAGUUAGGGUUUUAUAUUUCUAUGCUUUUGAUGAGAUCGGGGCCACACAACAGGGCUAGCUGUUACGGAAUUGGGCUCCCUAGAAGGAGCAGCCCUAUUAGCCUAUGGGCUCACUCCAUUUCACUUUGAGUGUACGAAAAGCCUUCCAUGGGCCCAUUCAAUCCCUUUUCCCUGCCCCACCUUGGAUAUGCUCCUUUUUAUAUCAAUAACUUCUAUAACUUUACUCAACUAAUUUAGGGUUUGGUUAAAAUACUAUUUUGGUUUAGUUUUAGUACGUGUACCGUUCAAUUCAACGUUUGUAACUAUAUACAUUUUAAAAUGUUAUAAUUUACUAAUAAGUUUUGAGUUUAGUUAUUACAUUUUAAUACUUUUAUACUUUUAUAAAAAAUGCUCAUUUUUAGAGUUUAGGGUUAAUGUUUUUGCCUUCUUACUUUUAAUUUUGUACUUAUUUGUUUAGUUAACUAAUUAAUUAGAGAUGAGUGUGAAAUGGAGUUUUUAAUUAAUUUGAAUAGUGAGGACAAAGUAAAGAAACUACCAUUAGUGUCAAAGUCAAAUUUACUCAUCGAUUAUUUAAAUAGAAUCAUUUUUCUCAAAGGUUAAAGCUUAAAUCCUCUAUCAUCAAUUAUGAUGUACUAAAAGAAAUUACUUUUUUAAUUUAACUAAUAGAAUUAGUAGUAGUAUGUAUCAAUAAUUGAAAGUGAGUAUUUAAUGAAAUAUAAUAACCAAAUUGAAACAAAAUUUAAAAAAAUACAAAAAAAAUAGAAAUACAAUAUUUUGAAAUAUAGAAAACAAUUCAAAACCAAAACCAAAAUUAAGGUAAAAAGUAUAACCCAAAUCUACAAUCAAUGAAAAAACAAAUGGAAUUCUUCAAUCUUCCCAUACAUAUAAUAAUAAUAGGUUAGGUAUAGGAAGAGGAUGUUGGUUGUAAGUUUUUAAUCUAUUUUGAAAAUCGCUUUCCUUUUUUAAGAAUAAUUAAAAAGCAACGGUGGAAAAUCAGAAUUGACACUUUGUUUUAUUUCUUUCUUUUCUCUUUUCUCUUUUCUCUUUCACUUUCUCUUUUUCUUUUUCAAAAAUAAAGAAUUGACAAUUUGUUUGGCUCAAUAAUACAACUUUAUGAAUUUAAAAAAAAAAACACACACACCAACUUUAUGGAUUAAAUAUUAUUAUAAGCUAUACCUAUUAGUAACGUAUAAUGACUUUUUAAUAUAAACUAUGGUUUUUGGCUUUGAAUACAAUUUAAAAAAAGGUACAAAAUAUUAUAUUUUAGAGGUGAUCUUUCCUCCUUUUAUUUCUUUUUAAUUUUGUAAAGGGAAAUAUUAUGAGGGAGGCAAGAAAGAAAGCAUAUGAUGAUGAGUCAAAUAGAAAAGGGACCUAAAAAGAAUAGCCUAUGAAAUCCAAAACAAACGUGUACGAAAAUCGGUAGGAAGCUAUUCAUGGAGAAUGAAAAAUUAUAUCAUCUAACUUAAUCUACGUAUUUCUUUAAAUUAUUAUUACGUUAGGAGGCAUCCACAACAUAUAACUAUCUUAAGAUUGGAAUAAUCAUAUUUUUCUAUGGUUCUAUUAAAAUGUCUUCGGUGAAAUAUAGUUGACGAUAUUUGAUACCUUUCAUUUAUUACCGUAUUUACUAUUUUACAUUAUUUAAUUUACCCUUUUUUUUUUAUUAGGAGUGUUUACUAUUUCUUUCUAAAAUUAAAAUAGUUUUUAUACAACAUAUACUUUAUUAUAAUAAUAAUUAACUUAUUGUCUCAAACGUUCUUUCAAGUAUUGUAGAGAAAGAAUGGGUAAAAAGGAGAAGAAUAAAACGAAAGACAAGAUUUUAUCUUUGUUCGGACAAAUUAAAAGAAACAUACCUAAAGUAUAUAUGUCUUCACAAUUUAGUCGUAGAAAUUAGAUUCUAAAAUGGUAAAAACUUAUUUUAAUGUCUCAUUUUAAAACCUAGAAAAUUGAUAAAUAAGACUAAUAAAUAAACGGAUGGUACGUAUAUAUAUUUUUACAAUUUGAAAGGAAAAUGUUAAUAGUUUAUUUCGUCUAGAAAAGUUAUGUAUAAACUAAGAGGAUAGAUUAAUUUUAAAAUUUAUAAAAAAGAUUUUGAGCAUAAAAACGAAUAAGGGAUAGAAAAUAACAUGAAUAAAAUGAUAUAAAUUAUUAAGGCCUUUGUAUGUAUUUUAUGGAUAUUUUGAAUGCUCAUUGGAUCCUAUUUUUAAUAUAUGCUUUUCAUUUCACAAUAAAAGUAGGAGGAGGCUGAAUUGAUUAGGGAAGUAGGACCAUUCAAUUUGCUCUUAUAUUUUCUACACCACUCAUCUCUCAAUCUCUCCAUACACAUUCAUAUAUAAAAGGACAAUUGUUUGCUUUUCUUACUUUUCACCCGGGAACUCAUAUAUUCUAAAAAAAAAAUUGUAUGAAUUUUGUAAUAUUUAAUAAAAUCACACCCCAUGAAGCUAUGAUGUCCGGUGGAUAAAGAGAGAAAUCCUGUCCUAUUUAAAAAAUAAAAUGUUUAGAGAUGGUCGACCAUAUGCUAAGAUUAUGAUACAUAGCAAGUGGACUCCUAUAAAGGGAGAAGAUUAGCCUCGACCUCGGCCUCUUCGGCUAAGAUGGUCAUAUUAUAGUCAAUUGGAGACCAAAUUUUGAUUUGUUUUCUACACUCUUUUUUGCCCUCAAAUGAUUGAUGUUAUUCCAAUUUUACUCUAACGACUUAUACCAUACAUAAUUUUCAAUCUAGCAAGUGUCUUUCUUAGUUCAAUAAUAUCAUCAAAUAAUAAAAGGACGUGUCAAGUUAAAGAAAAGAUGUUAAUUACAAUCUUGCAUUUCCCUAAAACAAUCUCAUCCCAACCAAUUACUAGUUCAUAAACGUAUAUACAAAUAGAUAUGAAAAAGAAAGGUAUAUGAAUGUGGAUGAAGGAAGGGCAUAAUAUAUUUAAAGGAAAUGUGUGAGCUUAGAGGGGACAAACAGCAGCCAACCCACGUGAAAGCACACACACACAAAACUCUCCAUUUUAUCUUAAUAAACUUCUUUGCUCUUUCUUUGCUUUGGUUGCAUCACAAAGUCACUACCAAAUGGAUAUUAAGUAAUUCUGGAAAAGGGCCCUCUUUUUUUUAUUAUUAUUAUUAAUUCUAUGCAUUUCAAAUCAUUUGUUUUUGCCUCUUAUCAACUUUAAUUCAUAAUAAUUGUCACUUUAUGAAUAAUAUAUGCCUCAAUGUCUCCUUGCUGUUUCACCAGUAGCUUGUGUCAGUAUAAUCUAGCUAAAAAGUACUCUUAGGGUUAUACUUUUCUUUUUAGUUUUUUAACAUUCUCUUUCUUCUUUUUAUGGUAUUUUUGUUGAUGCUAAAAUGGAUAAAGAUAAGAAUAAAUUUGACUUUCACAUGAAAAUAAGCUCAAAAGGAAGUUGACUCAUAUGAAGUUAUGAUAAUGUAUAUGUAUGAAAAAUGUGUGGUAAGCCUUUGGUCUAUUUGGUUAAUUUGCAAUUCAUCCGCAAUAACGUUUUCAUCUUCGAAUUUUAAAUCAAAUGUUUUUAAAAGAACGAGUUUUAAAAACUAUUAUCACUAUUUUUCAAAAACAUUUUUUAAUUGAUUUUGACUAAAAAUUCAAACAUUUCAUAAAAAGAUAUAAAAGCUAUAUGCACCAAAUAAAAAAAAAAGAAGAAGAAGAAGGAAGGAGUAGGUAAACAAACCUAAAUUUUAAAAAAGAACUAAAAAUAAAUGAAUGAUUUGAUUUUUUAUUUUUAAAAUUUAAGCUUAUAUAAAUACUACUUCCAUGAAUAAACUUAUUUGUUUUGUUAUUCACUUUUUACCCACAUUUUAAAAAACAAACACUACAACUGCUUAAUAAAGUGAAUCAUAUGGAGUAGGAAGUAGUUAAACUUCUUAAUAGUUGUGGUUGUUUUGUUUAGGUGAGAUUGAGAUUCUUAUGGGGAUAUUGUAUUUGUUGAAAAUAAUGUCAAUAUUUUACAUUUUUGUCACAUCCCUCAAGAUAAGGUGAACAAACAGAUUUGAUUAUUUACAAUGAGGACUUUCUUCAAGGAUGUUUUUUCUUAUUCUGGAAGAUGUUUAAUGUUGCUCUCUCUCUUUUUAUUUUAAUUUGACAUUGUUAUCCAAACUUGAUCAAAAUUGUUACGAAACAGGACCUUAAUUCUUAUUUAUUUAUUUUGGACGAUCAAGUAUCAUUGUUUUAAAGAUUGUGACAUGAUUUAGUGUUGGAUAGGUUGAAUUUUCAAAAGACAAAGGAAAGCUCUUGUAUAAGACAGCCUAGAAAUGGUCCAAUUUGGUCCAAUUGGUCCAAUUCAGUAUAAAACCUGUGAAUGGUCCAUAUGAAGUCGUCUAUCACAGUACACACAUAUGGGCCUUUCAGUUGGGCCACUUUUUUAGACAUAUUUUACUCAUGACCCAAUAAGUGUCAGAUUUCACUUUUUAUUUUUAUUUUUUUUUAUUUUUUACUUUUGUUUUCUUAAUAAAAAAGAAAAAAAAAUGGUAUGGGUAGCAAUUUUGAAAUGUAUAAAACGAUUUUAAAUAAUCACAAAUAUAUAUAUCAAUAGAAAAAUCUAUUCGAAUAGACUCGUGUGAUUAUUGAUAAUAAAAUAGACUUUGAAAGUUGGAUAUAAGCUUUGUUAUAUUUAUGGAUUUUUUUGUAUUGCCUUCAAUCCAGUAAUAUUUUGAGCUUGCACUACAAGAAAUCGGGAGUUUUCCGACGCAGGAAAAAUCGUUGGAAAACAUGACGUCGGUAGAAGUCAGUGUUUCCCGACGCAUCUUGGUGCACGUCGGGGGAAGAAAUUCCCCCUGAUGCAGACACGUUAGCGUUAGAAUUGGCUCGAAGUGUUGAGGGUUCCUUCGACGUGGUACUAGGUACGUUGAAAAAUGAACCUCUAUUCCCGACGUGGAAAGUGUAGCGUCGGAAGGGGCAAACAAUUAAUUGGCCUUCCUCCGGCGUGGUGUCAGGUGUUAUAUUUGCAACUUUUCCUUAAAAUUAUUAGAUAUACAAAGAUCGAAAAGUUGAAACUCAUUUUAGAAGAGCUUUGUUAUUGAUCCCCAACAAAAUUAUUAACCAACAAGUUAUGUUUGAAAAAAAAUUCAAAGGAAAAAACUACACCAAGGAGUCUUUACCGUUAGUGUGAAUAAUUAUAUGGAUGUUAAAAUAACUUCAAAAAUAAAGUGAGUGGAAGUUUAAAGUCGUCAUCAUAUACUAUGAUAUCGUCAACUUUGACUACAAACUAUCAUGAUUUCACUUUUGGUUAUACGUAUAUUACAUCAUGCUAGUGGAUUGGUUGUGAUUUUUCUCUCAAAGGCUCUGUUGUCUUUUUAGUCCUCUUAGUGAUUGCAUUCCUAUUUCCUCACCUAGUUCUUAUGGUCCACGUCUUUUUCUCUAAAGAAAUUUCUAAUCCAAUAAAGUUUAAGCGUAGAUCUCUUCAUGACUAAUCACUAAAAUUCACCACAUACUCUUCAACGCUUUUUCUACUGAUACGGCUCAAUUUAGAGCAUAAAUUGAUACCAACGUUAGGAAGAGUAUAUCUCUACAAUGAUAUGGUAUUAUCCCUUCUUAAACUCGGCCACGUUGUAUUUGAAUUAUUUUAUUCUUGAACUCUUAUACUAUACAAUUGCUAGUAUUGGUUUAUUUAAAGAGAGGUUUAAUUAAUUAAAACAAGAUGAAUUCUAUUUUCAAAUCAACAUUCCACCUAGAAAUUCUCUCAUAUAUCAAUGGAGAUGCCUCUCGUUUAUAUUUUUCAUAAUAAUCUAUCCAAGCUAAAGAGUGGAAGUUCCGAUUGCAUUAAAAUGAGCAGCUAGGAAAAUGAAGUAAAAGAUAGAAAUAUUUGAUAUAUAUUGAAGGUAAAGUUAAGGGAGCAGUACAGAAAAAGUAAAGAGCAAAGAGAUGAAUUAGAAAGGUGAAGAAGACAAGAGAAGAAAAGAAGGUGAAAAGGGUAUGACAUAUAAUAAGUCCCACAAAGGCUAUGUGUAAAUGAAUUCCCAAUGGUUCACAUUGCCUUUAGUUAGAGACAAAACAAAACAGUGAGGAUUGAAAAGAAGAGAAAAAAAAAACAAAAAAGAAGAAAGAAAACCAAAGAAAUUGUGUGUGUUUUGAUAUUGAUUGAUGAAUGAGGAGCCACCCUCUUAGGUCAUUUAUUGCUGCUAGCUCUUGUCUGUAGGGACACUAAAUUCCAACCCCUCACCCUUUUAUUCAAUUCAAUGUGAACUACCACUCCCACUUUGGGAUGCCAAAAAUGAAAUUAAAGAUUGGGAAUAUUGCCUUGCCCACCCACUAUUAAUACCUUAUAUAUAUAUAUCAACCCUUUCUCAUUCUCCCCCCCUAAUAAAUGCACACAUGGUAGCAAAUUUAUAAGGUAUAUGAUUCUGUAUAUUUUGUUAUAUAAGCUGAAGUCUCUUAAAUAAUCUUUUCAGAUAAGAAAAACGAAAUGGAAUCUAACUAAAUACAACAGUAAGUUUCAAAUGUGUGAGGAUUCUAAAAAACAUUUAAGAAGAUCAGAUAUAUUCAUCUUCACUUCAUCAAGAGAUGAGAACUAUAUAAGGAAUAAAUAUGAGGUCUACUCAUUUUAAUUUUAUAAACAAAACUUAAUAUAUUUCCUACUUAAUUCAAUUCCUCUCAAUCAGUCCUAUAUUUAUUUUGAACUUGUGCUUAGAGCAAUUUAUUGUAAUAGGCUUAAAAACCAAUAGUGUUAGAUGAUUCAUAUAUGGCACCUCCCUAAACUAGUUAUUGUUCAUUUAGAAUGCCAAAUAAUUCUAAUGGUAUUAAUAUUUACAUGGCAACCUAAAAUAAUUUGAGAUCUAAAUGGAACACUUUAAAUAAUGAGAUCUAUAACGAUUAUUAGCUCAUACCUAAAAUAGCGUUCAUACCUCAUUUACAACUCACGAUGAAAAAGGAUGUAAAAUGAAUUGUAAUAUACGGAAUAGCAUCUCAAAAUUAUAGAUGUUUUUAAAUUUUUUUACUUAUCGUACAAACAAUAUCGAUAACCAGUAUCAAGUUAGAGUUUAUGUCGUCAAUUUUUUACAUCAAAAGUUUCAUUUGCUUACUUUUUCUAAAAAAAACCAUUUCAUUUUGAUUUUCUUUAUCAAAAUAGAAAGAAUAAAAAAAUAGCAACAAUUAAUCAAUUGAAAAGUUCAGGACAAAAGAGAUAGCAACACAACCACCAACAGAGAUGUUAGAAAAAUUAAUAAAGAUGUUAGAAAGAUAUGACUGAUUUAGUCAAGAGAAAGAAUGUAGUAUCCACAUUGCAAGAUUACGUGACUAAUAUCAAGUUUAAGUUGGUUUACUACGAAACAUAAAAAAAAUGGAUCUUUGUUGUUUUUCUUAAUCAUCAAAUACAUUAAUAAUCAUGUUAUCUCUAUCUCUAAAAAUAACUUUAAUAGAAGUCAAAUCAAUAACCAAAAUGAUUCCGAGAAAAUUUGAAAAAUGGUUAAAAAAAUCAAUAAACUAGUCAACCUCAUCUGUAAUUGUAAUUAAUACAAUUGAUAGUAACCUAAAUUUGGCCUAAUUGCCACAAAUCAGUAAAAUAACUAAUAAGUUUUGAUAGACAUAUAUAUAAGAACUUUUUGAAAGGAAAGUAAAAAGAGAAAAAGAAAGUCAUGAAGCCUAAAGAAUCGGUGUAGACAGUUAGGAUUCUAAAAUGGUAAUUAAAGAAAAGAAGUUUUUCCUAUUAUAAUGGCUUAGGAAUUACCGUUUCAAAGAAGUGCUUUAUUCCACAGCAGCCAGCAACAAAUUCUGAUAGUGAUACGACAUUUGAGAGAGAGAUAGGCUCUCUGCCCACUGUCCCCUCCCCUGCGCCAACCAUCCCCUCCUUUUUUCCCACCUCUACCUUCCUUCAUCUUAGAAUUUUAGCCUCCCAAUGUACACUAACACCACCCACCCUUUCAACUUAAAUUCUCCAUUCCUUUUUCCCCUCAACCUUGCAGCCUACUCUUCUCACAUUCUUCAAGAACUCCAACCCUUUUUCACUUAACAGUCAACACACACACAUAAUAUGCAUAUAUAUACAUGCAGCAUCUUCUCCUCCGAUCCAAGCCUUAUAAGGGAGUGUUUCUUCUCAUUUAUGACACCCUUUUGUCUCCUGUGUUGGUCUAGCUAAUUAGCAGUGGAGAAAAUUUGGGAGCAUUUGGUUGGAGAAUUUUAUCAAACAGGUUGUGGGCAGGUGCGAUGAAAAUGGAGGGCAGUAGAAGCUUGGAGCGGAUGAAUGCGUAUGGUAAAAAGCAAUGUAGGAGUUUGUUUUGGAAGGUGAAGGCGGCUUUAAAGAAGGCUAUUAAGAAUGGAAAUAAGCGGCAACUGAAGUUUCAGUAUGAUCCGAGCAGCUAUGCUCUUAAUUUUGAUGACGGCCACAGCGAAAUCAGGGAGGAUAAUGUUGAUGCAUACAAAUUUGAAGUUCAAUAUUGUGGCAAUGUUUACAAUUCCGCUAUGUGGGUUUAUGUUCUUUGGGUGAAAUCUGAGUAAUGAUUGUAUAUAUUUUAUCUCCUCUCUGUUAAUUUUUUUUUUUUUUUUGUCUACUCGGUUUUCAUUUCACUGCCUAGAUGGAAAGGAUUUUGGUUGUAAUUCUAUCAUAUCUUUGGUAUUUUAGUUCAUUUAAAGUAAAUCAUUAACAUUGAGACGAUAAACAGUUGAAAUUUUAAUAAACAAUUCAACAAAUAAGUCACUAUAUUACCUUUAACAAUGGAGUAAAAAUCCCCUACCAUGUUGAAGAAAAAUCAUGUGUCUGAAUAAGCCAACAAUAAAUAUUACUAUUUAG
rnacentral:lncRNA from 1 species